rnacentral:lncRNA from 1 species
AUAAAAAAAAGUCAACCAAGUAUUUAUGAAGUUUAUUUAUAUCUUCUACUAAUAAUCAUAAAUUAGGCUCAAGCCCCAAUAGUUAAUCUAAUAAUUAAAAGAAUUGAAAAUAACAAUAAAAUGUCCAACCCAUUACAAGUCUAAAAAUAUGACCAAAAUAUAAUUUAGUCUCUUGCCCAUUAUGAGUUUCGUUUGUACUUUCACGAAAAAAUUUAGUCUCUUAUUGAGCUUUUCUUAAAAUCUUGUCAAAUCCUUCUUAAAAUCCCUUACUCUUUAUUCUAGUGAUUGGGUAGAUUCUAUAAACUCUAAGUAAAUUUGGUAGACUCUUGAGUUUACCACCGAGUCAACGAGUCAUUUUGGAUUGUUUUGUGUUUGUUUAGUAUUCAACAUACGUUCAUUUAGUUUGUUAUUCCCGAAUAAAAUUUUUUUUAGCUUUAAUAACAUCAAACCCUUGUUCCUUAAUAAUAUCAAACUCUCGAUGAGAAUGAUAUACCACUAUUAUAACAUCUGCAAGUUAUUAGCUAGUAAUGAUGCAUUACUAAACUUGAUUAUUUAAGUAUUGUGAAAUUUAUGAUUUCCUAUUUUGCUUUAUUAUAUUGUUAAAAUAUUUAAUUGAUAUGUUAUUUACAUAUAUUUUAUUAUUUUUAUAUGAAGUGAACUCUUAUGAGUUUACGAGUUGAGUCUACGAGUCGAGUAUAUGAAACUCUGAUGAGUUUAUGUAAACUCUCGUUUGAUAACCUUGCCUUUAAUGAUGAUUAAAUAUUCAAUCUUCAACUUAGAUAUAAAGUAACAACUAGGGAUUUUGUUUCAGUGAAAUAUGUUGAAACCUGAAGAACCUGUUUCAAAUAAUACUUGGAUUAAAUUUGGAGAGACUUGUGUAAAAACAAUAUAUUAGGAUAGUUGUUUGAAGAAACACGUAAAGAUAACACUUAUUGAAAAGGGAGGUAUAUUAAUAAAACAGGAGGUAUAUAUCAAUGGCCACUUGAAAAACACUAGCCCAUGAUAAAUUGGUCCUGUCAACUUGAGAAAAUUAGCUCAUUGUAAACUCGUCAAAUGCGUUAAUUUGACCCGAAUUGACGACCUUGUUAUUUUAGAAAACGAAUUGACGAAAAUAAAUUAUAGGAUAUUGGUUGAUUGACAGACAUAAGCUUAAAUAUUCCAAGAAAUUAAUUGAGAAACCAAGGGACUACAAAUAUAGAAUUUUGAAAUUGAAAAUAUAUAUCUUAAACCAUCUUGUUUUUGUCCGCACCAGCCAAAAAUAAAAUUAUUUGCACAAUUUCACCCAAUAAUUUCCACCCUUCUAAUUCCAUGACUGUUCUCUAACUUCUCUUCCCUUUUGCUAAACCAAGUGUGCUGCAUGAAAUAAAGAACAGAGCUGUCAUGACGUGUAGAAUAAAAAUUGUCAUGGUGCACUAACAUCUCUCAUUAUCAAAUGUUUUAGUACUAAUUGGGUAUUUAUGAUCUCAUGUUUGAUGCACAAAUUGAACCAUUAGAAGAAAUGAACACAAUCGGAAAUUUUGGAAAAUGACGAUAACACAUUUCGGCUUGGAACUUCCCAUUCUACAUAAUUUCAUUAUUUUGGAUGGUAUGAAUACCUAAUACAUAAGUGAUAACAAUGACAACGUUCCAAUGCCAAAUGCUUCUUUACUGAGUUUAUAAGACUAGACACCAACAUGUACAAAAGGGUGACACUGACAACCAAACCAGUUUAAGGACGUUUUCUAGUGCACAAGUAUUUUGUGCCGUUCAAUGUACGUGGGGCGGAAAAAUGAACGGUUUGAUAUUUUGUUAUAACUGGUAUUCUGAUAUUUAUGGUACCUUUUCAAUUACACACGUGAAAAAGAAAUCAAUAUUUUGAGGACGUGGCCUAACAGAUGAUUUUGGUGACCUAAUUUCAUCUUCUCCAUCUUCUCCAGUGAGAAAAAGGAUUUCGUUCUCAUUCAUUCAAUAGUCGUUAUUGUGAUCGAGUGGGGCCCGAGGGGUGUCUUUUCGUCUUUGCAGCCUUCGAUCAUUGUUGUCUUCUUUGGUUGUCUUUACCAUCAAUGUUGUUAUGUCCUUCGUUGUGGGUUUUUAUAAUAGUUGGGAAAUUGGUAUGAUUCAAUGUUGUUAUGUCUUCGUUGUGGGUUUUUAUAAUAGUUGGGAAAUUGGUAUGAUUCCAUUGGCUUUAUUUUGAUUCACAAUUUAACAGUUGGUAUGAUGAAUAUGUUUAUGUGGUUGGUUGUGUGUGCUGUGCGUUUAUAUAGGCGUAUAUUCGUCGAAUAUUUGAGCAUUGCUGACAAAAAAAAGAAGAUUGGAUAAGUAAUAUAUACUCUGAAAAAUAAAUUGACAAAAAAAGCAUCUCCAAUGGAGUUUUCAAAGUUCUUAUAGAUUCUUAAUUAUUGGAGCAAAUGAGACGAGUUCUUAUAUAAGAAUGAAUUGCAAGCAAUUGUAUCUUAGGAAUUUUUAUUUUCCUUUCCUAAAUGGCGAGAAAUAAAAUGAAGUGGAAAGAAGGUGUAGAUACAUUGAAAAGGAAUAAAUGACAUCGUGUUUUUCAAUAAUUCGGAAGUGGACAAAAGUGUAGUAGCAUUUUUUUAAAAAAUAUUAACUAAAUUUAGGUAAAAAUCGAAUGUUGUUGUAAUGGAAAUAAAAUGAAUGUUAUUAAUAGAAUAUAAUGUAUUUUUUUUAUUUUUAAAAUUAUUAUUAUAAAUGAAAUAAAUUUACACUAUUUUUAUUAUGCAUUUACUGUUCUAAUUACAAACAAAUUAAUUGAAAUUAAAAAUGUAAAUAAAAAUAUAAAGAUGUAGGGUUAAUUGUAGAACUCGUAAAAAUAAGUUAACAACUUUGUUAAAAACUUUAUUUAUUGGUUUCGAGAGAUUUUUUUUAUAUAAGCCGAAGGAAAUAUAUUAAUAGGACAUAUGGAGGUUCAUAAGGGUUCUCCCUACUAGGUAUAGAAUUACAAGGUAAAAAAAAGAAGAAAAAGUUACAGAAGAUAUGAUUAGGGAACCACUAUAAAAACUACAGGACUAACAUAUAGUGAGCACCCUUCCUACUAUAACUCCAAUAUACUAAACAGAACCAAAAACUUAUUUUUGAGACCUACACAUUCCAGACACGAAACCAGUAUCCCAAUAUUUAUCAUAUCCCACCUUUCAAUUUGGUAUACCAUACAAAUUCCCUAAAAUCUCCAAUAUACAAAACAGAACCAAAAACUUAUUUUUGAGACCUACACAUUCCAGACACGAAACCAGCAUCCCAAUAUUUCUUAUUUCCCACCUUCCAAUUUGGUAUACCAUUCAAAUUCCCUAAAAUCUCCAAUACCCAUGUUAGGGCAAUUACCACGAAGACAUACAUCACCUAUCCAAUUUCUAUAAACAUAGACGCAAACCGUUGUUGAUUCACUGAAAAAUUGAGAAAUUCAAGCUCACAAUGUUUACAUGUAUCCAAGUGAUAAUUGUUAUUUAUAAGUAUAUUUUGAGAUUAAAUUAUAAAGAAAUUGGUAAUUUUUUUCUCCUAUUUCUUCCUUUUUGUAUAAAUAAUUGUUAUUUUAACAUCAUUUAAGUUUUUGUGCAGAAAAUAUUAAAAAUUUACGAAUUUUAUGAUAUUUAGUGAGUAAAGUAAAACCCAAAAAAACAAAUUGGAAAUAUGAAGAGGUGCGCUUAGCGAUCCUAGGUGCUCAGCACGAUGCACAAGCUCAACGAGCAAAACUCGCUUAGCGUCAGAAAGAUAAUUCAGGAAAGUGAAGGCUAAUUCAAGAAAACAUGUUAAUUCAGGACAAAGACACACUUAACGUGAGUCAUGCGCUGAGCACGAGGAUCAACGCUAUACUCGCUAAGCGCGGCAAGCACGUUCAACACGAAGGUUGCGUGAAAACUAAGCUAACAUGCAUCUAUAAAAGGUGAGAGAAGGAAAAAACACAGAAAAUUAAAGAGAAUAUAAUUCCUUAUAGAAGACAAAUGUUAGAAGAAUAAGAAACAAGCAUUAGAAAUCAUUUCUUCCCUCUAUUCCCUUUCUUAUAGAUUCUCCUUUACUAAAUAUUCUCUUCUUGCAUUUAUAAAGUCUCUCAUGACAAUAAGAGGCUAAACCCCUCUUGUUGAAAACUUGGCAACCAACUGCUCUUGAUGUAAUUUCUCUUUCUAUCUACUUAAUAUUAUUACUUUUGCAUUAUCCUUUCCUAUGCUUAAUGUUAUUAUUUAUGGCUUGAUCACUCAUUUGCAUGAUGUUUUAGGAGUAGCGUGGAGAAACAUUAUUUUCUAAUAGAACUGAGAAAGAAUAUCUAAAUAAAGUUAUCACUAGAGAUAAGUUGAUUUUGUUUAACCUGUUAUAUAUCUCUAUCCUUAAUACAAUUUAACUAUUUUAUCUCUAUAAAGGGAUUUGGGAGAGAACAUAGAUAAGUUAGGCUCUUUCACUCGAGAGAUAUUGGUUAUAGUCAAUAAGUAGAUGAAUGUGUAAAUUAGAAUAAUUAUAAAUAGAGAAAAUUGAUUAAUAUUACUUCAAAGAGUCACUCUGAUAGGCUAAGUUUUCAACAUUUUCAUUUUCUGAAUUUAACUUCUAUAAUAUUGGGUUUUCUUAUCUUUUUUGUUCUUAAUUAAUUAAUUUAAAUUCAUGUUUAAUUACUUCCCUUGUUUGUUUUAAUUUAUUUUUUUGCCAAUUUAUUCUACUAUUUUUUCUACAAUCUUUUCCAAAUAUUUUUUCUAAUGAAAUAUUCAUCUACCUAAGUACAAACAAAGUCUUUGUGGAUUCGACACUCGGACUUCCGUUUUAACUUUACUACUUGAGACAAAUUGGUGCACUUGCCAGCUGUUUAACACCAAGACCAUGCUUUGAAUCUAACUAUAUCAUGUUUAUCAAAUAUAUAUUGAUCUAAAAUACCAAACAAUUAAACCACACAUUUAAAUCAAACAACAGAAGCUAAAUAGAAUAAAACGUGUAUCUCUAGCCAUUGCAGCUCAAAUUUGAACCUGAGUUCAGCUGCGUUAUUUUAGACCCUCACUCACUCAAAUCAAUGGUGUAUUAUUUUGUAGAGAGGGGAUGACUUGGUAAUACAAAAAUGAGAGUAACUUAUUCUAUUUAUAGAGUUCUGACCAUUACAGAGCUCACCACGGUAGGAACGAAAUACGUGGAUAUUGUAGAGGAUAAGAAUUAAAUGUGGGAGAAAAAUGGACCAUGUACAAAAACUUACUUCCCAUAAAAUCACAAUGGGAAAAAACAAAAAUAAUUCAAAAAUGAAGGAACUAAAAAUUCCAACAUAUCAAGCAUCCCAUCAAAUGAAAGGAUACCAUUCUUAAAUAAUAUAUCAUUUUGAACUUUCUACAUAGACCAUAAAGCAACUGCCCACACUAGUUGCCAUGCAUGUACGCCUUUCUUCCCUUUGCCCCAUGUAAUAUGAUGUCAGAAAUGUGCUUUUUAAAUCUUUUGGUAGUACAAUUUGGAUGUUGAACCAGCUGUAGUAGUAAUUCCAUAACCUUUGUGCAACAUAACAAGUUAGUAGUAAAUGUUGAGUUGUUUUCUCAAAUUGACCACAAAUUGGGCAUGUAUAAUUGUUGUCAUGUAGAGAAAUACAUCUUUUAUUGAGAUUAGCUCUAGUUGGUAGUUGAUCUAGAACAACCCUCGGCAAACAAUACAACACUAAUGGUGGCGUUUUUAGCUUCCACAUACAUGUAAAGAACUUACUACAUAUAAGCUCUUGUAACUAUUGGGUUAUUUUGUACCUUGAAGCCACCAAAUACACCCCAAAUCCACCCCCCUUUUGUCACCAUAUAUCUUGUUGAUGUUAUAUAAAAAUAUACAUAACAAAACAUGCAAAUAUUUCACGGAACAAACCCAUGACAAGAUACCUAGCACAACAUUAAUUCCUAGAGAAAUUAAUAUGUAAUUGAUACUUUCAACGCAAUGAUCAAAUAUUGACAAUAAAUUCUGUCAAAUAAUAAUAUUUCUUUAGACCGACUAUUAUUCACAUGAAAACACCUUAUAAUUGUCACACAUUUAUCAUCACAGGUCUAAAAUAUUAUUUGGUCAAAUUGCAUCUUCCUUUGGACCGAACACAAUUCACAUAAAUAAUUUUAUACAAAAAUAUAUGUAAUUUUAAUCAAAUCAAUUUUCACAUAUAGGGAUUACUUUGAUAAUAUAUCGUGCCAAUCAAUUUAAUUAAAAAAAUCACUAGAUAUGCAAAUAAAUGGGAAUGAUCAGUUAUUGUUAAAUUAACUUUAAUCAUGAUAACAAAAAAAUAUAAAAUAUUAAUUACGGCAAGUAAUUUUAUUUCAAUAAUUAAUGUGGGCUACUAUUAUAAGACAAUUAUAUUAACUAUUUAUCAUUAGUGGGUUUUAUUUUAUGUGAAUAAAUUAAGUGAGUCUGUUAGACAACCAAAUCAGAUGAUAUGCACUUAAAUGAGUAGAUGUUAGUGUUGGUCCAUUAGGGGAUAAUGAGAACCCUAUUAAAUUAACACACUAUAAGAAGGCUAUGGUCCCCAAUAUACCGAGUCGUCACAUAAAGUUUCUCUUCUCCCCAUCUGAAGAGUUACAAAGGUCCUAUAAAGGAAUAAAGAGGUUCUGGUUGAGGAUAACCAUGAAGCCACCGGUUACGCUGUUAGCUGAUUAUCUGUUUCGUGACAGAUUCUAAGGAAAGUACAUAGAUAAAAAAUCAUCUAAGGAUUCAGAUUUCGCUGCGUUUGUUUGAUCAAUCAUUAUGAAUCCAGGUAUUCCUAGAACUCUUCUUGAUAAUCUAAUGUAAUGCGCUCUUGGUGAUUAUAUUGGUAUUUUAUAAGGAUCCUCUAAAAUUUCAACAAGUGAUAUCAAAGCCACCAUUACUGUUAGAUUAUUGGAAUUUUUUGUUUUUUUGCAAUAGACUAGUUUGUAGGAAUUGGGUUGUUUUUCUAUUUCGUAAAAAAAAUGUUGCUUUGUUGUUUUCCUGAUCAUGGUUUCUGACGAUUAGUUUUUAACGUCAUUUAAUCGUGUAUUGGUUUGUUUCACUUCCUUUUUGAUAAAAUUUGUACUUCACGUUUCUUGUAAUGCAAAUAAAUUAAAGGAGAAACAUUAUUAUAUAUUUUAUUUAUAUAAAUAUGAUUUUUUAAUGUGGGAGCAAAUUAAAGUUGAAGGUGAAGUGAAGUUUCUCCGGUCUCCAAGGUGUAUAGCACAAACAUAAAUCAGUAGUAAGAAAUUUUUUUUAUGAAUAAUGUUUUUAUUUUUUAUUUAUAUAAAAUCUUUUAAAGAUUUCUUUUAGGAAUUUAUACAUUAUUUUUUUAAUUCCUUUAAGAUAUUUGUAAUAAUGUUAUUUACGAAUGCAAAAUUUAGUUGGGGUAUUUUAAGUAUAAAUCAAUGAUAUCCUUAAAUGUGAUUUAAGGAUAUGAUAUUUACUUGGCGUAAUUAAUGUUUUAUAUUUUUGCUAUCAUGAUUGAAUAUAAAGUUAGCAGUAACAAAUUAAUCUCAUUUGUUUGUAUGUUUAAUAUUUUUUUAAUUAAAUUGGUUGACACGAUAUAUUGUAAAAGUAAUCCCUAUUGUGAAAAUUGAUUUAAUUAAAAUUACAUAAAUUUUGUAUGGAAUUAUUUAUGUGAAUUAUGUUUGACCCAAAGGAAGACACAAUUUGGCCAAAUAAUAUUUUAUACUUGUGAUGAUAAAUGUGUGACAAUUAUAAAUGUAUUUUCAUAUGAAUAAUAGCUAGUCCAAAGAAAGACUAUUAUUUGACAGAAUUUAUUCUCAAUAUUUGAUCAUUGCGUUGAGAGUAUCAAUUACAAAUUGAUUUCUCUAUGAAUUAAUAUUGUGUUAGGUAUCUUGUGAUGGGUCUGUGCUACAAAAUAUUUGCAUAUUCUGUUAUAUAUAUUUUUAUAUAACUAAAUUAUAUGUGAAAGUUGUGUAAUUUUAAGACCUCCCAUUUAUUAUAUUAACUUAUUUUAUAUUUUUUGGUUAAAUUGAUUGAAACAACAUGUUGCUAAAGUGAUCUCUGUUGCAUAAGUUGAUUUGAUUGAAUUUACAUAGAUGUUGCAUGAAAUUAUUCAUGUGAAUUGUGCUCGGUUCAAAAGAAGACACAAUUUGACAAAAUAAUUACAUGCUUGCGAUGAUAAACAUGGGCGAUUAUAAAUAAUGUGAUUUUUCAUGUGAAUAAUGAAAUGUUAAAAGAAAAUCGUUAUUUGACCGAAGUAAUCAUCAUAUAAAUUUUCAUGUGAGCAAUGGAGUGUCCAAAGACAACCUUUGUUUGACAUCAUCAAUGUUUGAUCAAUGCGUUAAGAGUAUCAUUUGCAGAUAGUCUUUUUCAAUCCAAAGACUCAGGUGUUAGGUAUCUUAUUAGGGUCUUAAAAUUUACCAUAAAGAUUAUUUGUGCAUUGUAUGUUUAUUGUUCUCUUCUUUAAUUGUUGUUGUUGUUACUACUAUGAUUUAAAUUACUCAUAUUAUUUAAAUCCCAAAGUUGCAUGUAUAAAAUUUAGAGUUUGAGGGCUGAGAGUUGAAAAUAUUGCAUAAUUUAUUUUUUUCUAGAGAAGAAACAAGAGAACAAGAUAAGUAAUUUCCUUUUUGCUUUUGUAGGACGUGACAUAUAAAAAAAAGGGUCCCAUUUACACUAUUUAGUGUGUGAAAAUGGUAAACUUCUCAUUUUUGCUUGUUUUAAAGUUAAUUUAGUUUUGUAUUGAAGGACGUUAAUGGGUAGAUUUUGUUUCUACUACUCACAAAAACAUGUUUAUACGAUGAUACCUAUGGGGUCAUCCGCCAAGUGAUAAUGAAAGAUUCUUCUAUGUGGGCGAUAACAUGAAGUUAUAGUUGAAGCUAUGAGAACUUUUAUGUUGCUUUAAAAGAUUCAAUUUCAUUUGAAUUUGGUUGAGACAUAUAUUAAGCUAUUUAUUAAACCAAUUUUUAUUUUUUAUUUGGAAAAAUUCAGUUAUUUUGUUCAAUUAGAAAUAAUAAAGUUAAUCUUUUGUGUGAUUCAAAUUUUCUAAGUUAUGAGUUCUUCUAUGGAUAUUUGAGUGUUCCUAUUGCAAACAUUUUUGGGUGGUACAAAAUUUAAAAUUAAAUGAGAAUUUCUUCACUUUAUAACAUAAGCGCUUAAGUUAUAUCUCUUAAUAGAGAAUUUGGAUGUUUGUGUUAUAGGAAAUUUUGGAUCUUUUAUAUUGGUUGGACCUUAUAGUAUACAUUGAGUAUAUAAAUGAAAAAUAAACAAACAAAAAGGAAUUCAAGUUCUCAAAGAACUAAGGAUGUCUUAGAACUAAUACAUACAUAUAUUUGUGUUCUAUUCCUUAUGGAUUCAUGGAAUGAACAAAUGUAAUUUAUUAUGCUCAUAGAUGAUUCAUUUUUAUUUAAAUUAUGAGAAGUUUUGGCCUAUAGACAUUUAGUCUUUCAAAGAUGAAGUUGAACUUCAACUAAGAAAAAGAAAGAAAAUUAAGGUUGUCAAAUGUGACCGUGGAAAAUACUAUGAUAUAUAUGACAUAAGGUACAAUGUUUGGAGUUCCCCAUGUGUUUUUUUUUCAAUAAUUGGGAAAUUGUUUUACAACAUAUAAUGUUAGGCAAACCUAGCAUGAACAAAGUUGCAAAAUGAUGAAACUAAACUUGUACAGAUAUGAUAAGAAGUUUAAUUCUUUUUUACCAAAGUCGCUUUGGGGAAAGACAUUAAAAAAUGCAAUUUAUAUCCUUUUAGGGUACUAAUUAAAGUAGUCACUGCCCUAUAGGUAUGAGUUAGGGAAAUUCCAACAUUUGACAUACUGCAUACAGGUAAGUUGGACUUAAAGAUAAUUAACUAUAAUUUUUUUGUUACAUUUAAAGUUCUCGCAUGUGUAAGUUUUACAAUCCCACUUUAAGAUCAUGUUUGAGAUGCGCAAGACUCCUUGAGGGAAUUGAGUUUGGGGGGGAAGUAAACACAAGGAGUGUUGUCUUUAAAGAAUAAUAUGUUAUUAACAAUAGAUAAACCUUUGUACUUACCAUUGUUCAAGAAACGGAUAUGGUAAUUAAAUAAUGAUGUUACUCCUAACAUUAUUAAAAGACAAGACAACACUAAGAUUCCCUCUCAAGCAUCACCUAAAGUUCAAACGCAAUAACCUCAAGAAGUGUCAUUAAGAAGAUCUACUAGAGAAAGGGAAAAUAUAAUUUGAUAUGAUUAUGUCAUAUUUCUUGAAGAACAUGAAUAUGACAUUAGGUUGACUGAGAAGGUCUAAUUAACCUUAGUCAAGUUAUGUUGUGCUCUAACUCUCAAAUGGAUUGAUGUCAUAAAUGAUGUAGUAAAACCAAUGGUUGAACAUGACAUUUGAGAUAUCAUCAAAUUGCUUGAAAGUGUGAAACACAUAAGUUGUAUAUAAAUAUCUAUGGUCGAAAGGGAUUCAAUGGAUAAUUUUGAGAUAUAUAAAGAUUGUCUUGUCGCCAAAAGUUUUACAAGAAGGAAGAUAUUGAUCACAAAAAGACUUUAUCUCUGAUUUCUUAGAAAAACUUUCUUAGAAUUAUAAUGACACUGUAGAUCAUUUUGAUAAUUGUUUUGCAUAGAUGGAUUAUGUUUCUAAAUGAAAACAUUGAUGAAACAAUGUGCAAUAAAAAAACCUUGUUUAAGAUGAUCUAAAGUCUAUGGUAUGCAAACUAAAGAAAUUCAUUUAUGCUUUUAAACAAGUCUUUCGUCUAUGGUAUUACAAAAUUCAUCAAGAUUAUCUCUUAUGGUAUUUGAGGUAAAUUUGGUUAAUGAUUGUGUGUGCUAAAAGUUUAGUAGGAGUAAAUUUAUUAUUUUGGUAUUAUGUGUUGAUGACAUCAUAUUAUCAUCAUACGACUUAUUGUUGCAAAACAAUUAUAUUACAAUUUAUCAUGUAUGCUUAAGUUUAUUUUUUAUUGUCCUGAAAUAAUUUUUUGUGGGAGUCCUAAGGUGAUAUAUGAGUAAUCUUGGUAUGUAACACUAGAAAGUAGUAAACAACAUUAUGUGUUAAUUGAAGAGAACAAGAAACUACAUGUUUUCAUAUCAAAAGUCUAGAAGUUUGGAGAUCAUUGGGUAUUCUGACUUCGUUUUUUUUCCAGAAUGUCUUAAUAGCAAUCACUCCACAUAAGUAAAAUUUAUGAUUGCUAAAUUAUUGUAAUUGGCUUGCCUAUUGUCUCUAACAUUAAGUAGUCAUCGAGUGUUUAUUGGGACAAUAUCUUAACGAUAUUAUUAAGGAUUCAACCAAGUAAAAGUUUGUUGACAUAAAAUAUUUGGGUUAAAUAAAGAAUUCAGAAAAUACAGAUUUGCAUAGAAUAUAUAGGAAUUCAUUCCAUGCUAGCUGAUUCACUUACUAAAGGUAUGACACUUAAAGUUUUUCAUGAGCACACUGUUCAUAUGGGUGUAAUUUCUGAUAGUACCUUAGUUUAGUGGGAGUCUUACUUAUGUUCUAUAUCUUACAGUUUACAAACAUUUUGGUGUUUAGAUUUUUUGCAGAAAUAAAGUUGAAGUUUAUCAUUUCAUUAUAAACUUGUUUUGUUUGCAAUAUUUAUGUUGUGUUUGGGUAUUCUAACUUCAUUUUUUCGGAAUAUCUUAAUAGCAAUCACUCCACAUAAGGAUCCACAUUUAACCAUGUUGGUGGAAUUAAUAUUUUGCUAUGAGACAUCAUACUAGAAUUUAUGAUUGCUAAAUUAUUGUAAUUGGCUUGCCUAUUGUCUCUAACAUUAAGUUGUCAUCGGGUGUUUAUUGGGACAAUGUCUUAACAACAUUAUUAAGGAUUCAACCAAGUAAAAGUUUGUUGACAUAAAAUAUUUGGUUAUUAAAUAAAGAAUUCAGAAAAUACAAAUUUAUAUAAAACAUAUAGGAACUCAUUCCAUGCUAGCUGAUUCACUUACUAAAAGUAUGACACUUAAUGUUUUUCAUGAGCACACUGCUCACAUGGGUGUAAUUCCUGAUAGUACCUUAGUUUAGUGGGAGUCUUACUUAUGUUUUAUAUCUUAUAGUUUACAAACAUUUUGUUGUUUGGAUUUUCUGCUGAAAUAAAGUUGAAGUUUAUCAUUUCAUUAUAAACUUGUUUUGUUUGCAAUAUUUAUGUUGUGUUUGGAUAGAUCUCUAUAAAAAAUAAAGUUUUGACUAGUUGGAAAUAGACAUAACUAAGAUCACAUUGCAUAUAAUUUUCAUGUUGUUUAUCCAUAUUGACCUAUGUUAUUGAGUGUACUGAUGUGGUGGUCAUUUGGGUCUAGUUACAUUUGUUGUAGUGAAGAAAGCCACAAUGAUUCCAUUAUUGAUAUAUGAGAUGAAUUAGGUUGUUAAGGUGAAAGUAUAAAGGUAAAUAACAUACAGAUGCACGCUUAAGUAUUUUUGAUAUAAUUGUUACAAUAUGUCAAUAUGUAGUCCAAGUAGAAGAUUGUUAGAAUUUUCUAUUCCAAUAAUUAAUGUGGGUUAAUAUUAUAAGACAAUCAUAUUAGCUAUUUAUCAUUAGUGAGUUUUAUUGUAUGUGAUCAAAUUAAGUGAGCCCGUUAGACAACCAAUGAACAGAUGUCAGUGUUGGCCUAUUAGGGGAUAAUGAGAACCCUAUUAGGUUAACACACUAUAAGAAGACUAUGGUCCCCAAUAUACUGAGCAUAUAGGUCAUAUUAAGCAAUAACUCUUAUUGAUAAUCUAACGUAAUGUGUUCCUAAUGAUUAUAUUGGUAUUUUAUAAGAUCAUAUAAAAUUUCAAUAGUUUAUUCCUUUUAAAUGUAACAUGACCAACAACCUCCCAAAAAGAAUGCAAAACCUCCUUUUCCUACUCAAACAACCUCCCCUACCUAUCUACCAAAGUCCACACACAUAACUCAAUUGUUGUGUAGAAUUAUAGUAUAAGAGUUCAAACUUUGUACUAAAAACAUAAAUAUUCGCAAAGUUGUAUUGUAUGUAUAACAUGAUGAAACCAUAAUAUUUUGUUUUUCUUCUAAAUGAAUAAGAUAUUGAGAUCUUUUUACUAGAGAGUAAUUGAUUUCUAGGUUUCUCUUUAAAUAUGUCUUUUACUAGUUAGUCUGACAACAUAAUUUUUGAGAAGUCUUCUAUUAUGUGACAAUACAAACUUUUUUUAAAUAAAAAAUCUUAAUAAUCAGAAUUAAAACUAAACCAAAUGAAAAGUAUCAUAAAUGAAGUGAAAUAUAUAUUAAGUUAUUGUACUAUAAAGAAGAUUUGGAUAGAUUUUAUCAAUAUUUAAACUUUAUUUUAUUGUAUAAAAAUAAUUUAUUUUUUGUUUAUUUUUUUUAGAGUCCUUAAAUUUAAUAUAAGGUUCACACAAAUAAAUUAAAAAUUCAUUUAUGAAUUAAUGUUAAAAUUAUUGAGAUUCUUAUUGUUCGUAUUGAGAUGGAGUUUUAAGGAUGAAGACUUGUUGUUUAAGGAUGUUCACGAGUCUGAUCUCUACCAUUAACUCAAUUAUAUAUGCAUUGUUUUUUUUUUUAAGUAUUUAGGUUAAAUUCAAGUUAACUUAAUUAAGGUCUGAUCAUAAAUAAGUUGGGUAAUCAGUUAUAUUUUUUGUACCUAACCCAACUUAUAUCAUAUAAUUAAAUUUAUUAUUACAUAUAAAUUAAUCAUUAAAUAUAAAACACAUUGAUAUUUAGCUCAUAUAAUUUAUUAAAUUAAAUCAUUCAUUAAUUUUUUUUUCUUUAAAUUGUUAUUUUUAUCUCUGUCUUGAUUUUAUUUAUGUUUUUUUAUGCUAAUAUAAUAUUUUAUUUCUAUCUAAAUAAAAUAAAGAUAUCAUAUUAAUAUUAAAAUUAUUAAUUCUAUUAGUUAAUAUUAUUAUAAUUUAAUCUCUUUUAAGUGUAUUUAGUUAUUAUAUAUUUAUAAAAUUUUAAACAAACAUAAAUUAAUAUUCUAAACAUUUUUAUUUUUUACAAAUAAAAAAUUAUUUUUAAAUAUUUAGAUCCGAUUAAUCAAAUCUUAUCCAAACUAUUUAUCAUCAAAUUAAAUUAAAUGAAAUGUGUAAAAAAAAAAACACAAAUUUAACCCAAUCUAAUUCGUAAAAUUUUAAUGGAUAGUGACUUUAAUUAAAUCCUGCCUUUACAUCUUGGUCUUGGGAAUGUGGAGGCUGAAAUCCAUAUAUCACUUGUGGCAGGAGCAGGGGGAAGGGAGGUCAUCAUAAAAUUUCCUGAGACAAACACGAUAAAAAAAAAAUAUUAUAUGCGGUAACAGUUGUUGGAACAUCUAAAGACAACCUUAACUUGCCAUCAUAUGCCUCCAUGUGGACUGUAGCGCACCAAAUUACUCUUCUAUCCUUUCCAACCACACCAAUAUGAAAAAGAAAAAUAUUUCAUAAACAUACUAAGAUAAGACAUCUAUAAAGAAAAAAAUGAAAAAUAUAAAUAUAAUAAAGUUUAGACGCAAUAAAAAAGAAAAGAAAAUAAAAGAAACUAAUGAGUAUUUAAAACGAGAAUGCAUGUAUAUCAUUACUUUACGAGUGUCAUUACUUAACAUAAAAACUAAAAAGCACUGAGCACAACAUACUCAGGUUAUCUUGUUACGUAACCUACUCAUUAAUUUUUCAGAACUUAAAUAAAAAACGAAAAGGUAAAAUAUCGGAAAAUAAAAUUGAAAAAGAAAGAAAACAAACAAACAGAAACUGGCCUUUGCCAGCGAGAGAGAAAGUGAAAGUCAAAUAAAAAGCAGCAGAUGGACCAGUCAAUGGUGGUGACUCACUUCCCAAGGCAACCAAUCUCCAGUCACAUUCUCCACACGUCGCCUCACCUUCCUGUGACGUUAUCAUUCUCCCUGCCCGUGCUGCCCGCACUGCCCGACCCCUAGUAAGUACCCAAGUACAUCCUUCUUUCUUUUACCCACACGCUUUCUCUCUCUUCCAUCUCUGUUUCUCUCUCUAGAUUCUCGCUCCGAAUUCGUUCCUUCGUUUGUUCCUUUUUCGCAUUCGUCUUCGCGCGGAUCCGAGUGCGUCAAUUCGAAUUUCGAAAGCCUAGGGUUUCUGGAAAGCAUGGUUGCGGAGCUAGGGUUUUGCGCGGAUCUAGGGUUUCGCGGGUUCUGAGGGCUUCGGGUGUCGAAUUAGGAGGGGGAUUUGAUGGUACGCGUUGGGGAAAAUGCGAGGCUAUGCAUGGGCGUGGAGGUGAGAAGGGUAAGAGGACUCGGCACAUGUGGAAAUCCUCCACACGUGGCGACUCGUCUCUGAACGCCGAUGUUUCUUCGUCUUCUUCUUCGUCGUCGUCGUCAGUGAAGUCGUUCUGUAAGGUAUUGUUAGGGUUACGGUUGUAUUUCAAGCUUUUGGUUUUUUCGUUGUAAGAAAAAAAAGGUUAUUUAUGUUUGACAGCUUAUUUGAGUUUAUGUGGAAAUGAAUUGUGGGUUUUUGACGAGUGCGUUGUGUACAAGUAUGUGUCUAGGGCAGGGAUUAAGAUGGAAACUACUGAAUUGGUAACCGCAGUGCGUUUAAUAAGUGAAAUUUCGAUUAAGAGCCAGUUAUUAUAAACUUUUGCCUAAGCACUUAUAGGAGAGGAAAAUAAAAAGGGAAAACUGAACUGACCUUCUCCAUAAGCUAAAAUUAGCUUAUGCAUACGUUAAAAAUCAACUUUUUAGAAAAACUAACGUGGGAGAACUUCUAAAAAUUAGUUUAUGGAGAAACUCAUUUCAUUUUUUCUUAUUUUCUUCUCCUAGAAGUCUUUAUAGAGAAGUUUAUUCAAACAGGCCCUAAUUAAGAUUAGUGUUGUUAAUUUACUGGAGGAUAUAUUUCUGAACCAGUAUCGAAUUGUUAAACAAAAUGAAUAGAUCAUAUUUUCUUGCUGUUACUUCAAUAGAGUUGAUUUUAAUUGUUCUGAUUGAUGUGAGUGGAGGUGGAGGGGGAAGCAGGUGGAUGUUAUGCCAAUUUAUUGAAAAUAAUUAUUAGAGGCAAGGAAAUUGUUUGUUUUGAUGUCAUUUAAUGGUGUUGCAUGAUGCCGGCGUAGUCACUUGGUAGGAUGAGAUGAUUGUUAUUGUUUGUUUCCUAAUGUAGGUAUAGGUUGCACAGUUUUAUACCGUGUUUUUCUCUCUAGGAGUAUCGAAUCUCCUCAUUCAAUGGUUGUAUAAUACUAAUCUCAGCAAGCUUAUAUUCUCUGACUGCAGAGUGUUUGUAUCCUGUUUAUGUUACCCCCUCCAUUUCAGUCUGUCAUUAUUCCACAUGUUUUAACUUGUUUCAAAUGCACUUAUAUUUUCUUAAAUUGAGGGUAUAUAAUGACUUCCAUAAAACAUUUACUAUUAUUUUGAAAUGCUGGGAUUAACUGUUUUCUGGGUUUCCAUAAGACAUUACACUUUCUGUGUUAAAAUAAUCUGUUUUUUUGUAUGGGAUGCUUACAUUGUAAAGGGUAAUUAAAUAUAUGUGAAAUUAUUGAUUGAUUCCAUUGGCAAGGUUCUGCAUUAACAGUUGGGGAAAAUUGUUCACAUGUGCAAGGAAGGUUUUAGGAGGCUGGGUGUGUGUGGGGGGAGUGGUAUAUAUAGAUAUAGAUAGAUAUGCAGGUAGAAGGAGUGUGAAUGAGCAUGUGGAGUUUAGGCUGUGAUCUUUCUUUUGUCGCCCUGAAAGCUCUGCGAGUUCCUUUCUAAAUUCAAUAAAAAUUUCUUUAAACCAAAAUUCUAGUCUUUAUUUUUAUCAUAAUGCUCUGCUCUGAACUUAUAUCAAACCCCACUCCCCCCUUAAAAUUUAUGUGAAAUAAAUAUACAUCACUGGUGAUUUUCUUGCUCCUUUAAUGAAACUUUUUAAAUUCUAAUGCCAAAGAAGAAUGCAUUCAUAUGGAGAUUCUUUUAAAGGGAUCAGAUGUGUAAUAGUUGUUAAAAAAAUCAAUGGCAAUGCUUAAAAUCAAUUUCUCAAAAUGCAAAGCACUGAUAUUCUGUUGAUUGAACAUUAAUGGUUCACUAAGGAUUUUCAUUAUUUUCAAAUCUUAGGACGGUCGCAAAAUUAGUGUUGGUGAAUGUGCUCUCUUCAAACCAUCUGAAGAUCGCCCACCAUUUAUUGGUAUAAUUCGUUGUCUGACAUUUGGCAAAGAGAAAAAAUUGAAGGUAGGUGUUAGUUGGCUUUAUCGAUCCAUUGAAGUAAAACUCAACAAGGGUGGACCAUUGGUGGCUGCUCCAAACGAAAUCUUCUACACCUUCCAUAAGGAUGAAAUUGAUGCUGAAUCGCUGCUCCAUCCAUGUAAAGUUGCAUUUCUUCGUAAGGGUGCUGAACUUCCAUCAGGGAUUUCUUCAUUUGUGUGCAGGAGGGUUUAUGACAUUGCAAACAAGUGUUUAUGGUGGCUAAAUGAUCAAGAUUAUAUUAAUGUAAGUUUCUGCUAUCUUAUGUUCCAGUCUGUUAUGACCUUUUUAUAGUUCUAGUCUUUUCCCAACUUAAUUUGUCCCCAUGAUACCAGGAUUGUCAAGAAGAAGUAGAUCAACUAUUAUACAGAACUUGUGUAGGAAUGCAUGCAGCAGUGCAGCCAGGUGGCCGAUCUCCUAAGCCAAUGAGUAGUCCAACAUCAACAUCACAGUUAAAAUCUGUUUCAGAUAGUGUCCAGAACAGUACUUCUUCCUUUCCAUCUCACAUUAAGGGGAGGAAAAGGGAAAGGGCUGAUCAAAGCUCUGAGCCUGCCAAGCGAGAACGAUCAAUAAAAACUGAGGAUGGAGAUUCUGGUCAUUUCAGGCAUGAUAACAUUUUGAAGACAGAGAUUGCUAAAAUUACAGAAAAGGGAGGGCUUGUUGACAAUGAAGGAGUUGAAAAAUUAGUGCAGCUGAUGGUUCCUGAGAAAAAUGAGAAGAUAGAUUUAGCUAGCCGGGCAUUGCUUGCAGCUGUCAUUGCAGCAACAGAUAAAUUAGAUUGUCUUAGUCAGUUUGUGCAGUUGAGGGGCUUGCCUGUAUUUGAUGAAUGGCUCCAAGAGGUCCAUAAAGGGAAGAUUGGUGAUGGUGUUGGGUCUAGGGAUGGUGAUAAAUCUGUUGAGGAAUUUCUCUUGGUAUUGCUUCGGGCACUUGAUAAGCUUCCAGUAAAUCUUCAGGCUUUACAAACAUGCAACAUUGGAAAAUCUGUGAAUCAUUUGCGAACGCAUAAAAACACUGAAAUUCAGAGGAAAGCCAGAGGUUUAGUUGACACAUGGAAGAAACGUGUUGAAGCUGAAAUGAAUAUAAAAGAUGCAAAGUCUGGUUCAGGUCCCACUGUCCACUGGUCUGCCAAAUCGCGUUCUUCUGUUGUUGGUCAAGGUGGGAAUAGACAUUCAGGUGCAUUAUCUGAUGUUGCCAUGAAGAGUUCAGUUACACAGCUUUCUGCAUCCAAAACUGCCUCUGUGAAGAUUGUCCAGGGAGAGAAUACUACUAGAUCUGCAUCGACAUCCGCAUUUCCUGGGCCUGCAAAAUCAGUGCCAUCACCUGCAUCUGCGACUACAAACCUAAAAGAUGGACAGCCCCGUAUUGCCGCUGCCAAUGGAGGUUCUGAUCUUCCCAUGGUGAAUGCAAGGGAUGAGAAAAGUAGUAGUUCUAGUCAAUCUCACAACAACAGUCAAUCGUGUUCUAGUGACCAUGCUAAAACUGGAGGUCAUUCAGGAAAGGAGGAUGCCAGAAGCUCUACUGCAAUGAGUGUGAAUAAGAUAUCUGGAGGCUCUUCACGGCACCGAAAAUCUAUUAAUGGAUUUUCAGGUUCAACUCCAUCCGUAGGGCAAAGGGAAACUGGAUCAAGUAGGAAUUCCCCCUUGCACAAAAAUUUAACUUCAGAGAAAAUAUCUCAACCUGGAUUAAUGGAAAAGGCACUUGAGGGAGUUUCUUGUAAGCUGAUUGUUAAAAUUCCAAGCCAAGUUAGAAGUCCUGCUCAAAGUGCUAGUGCAGGUUCUUUUGAUGAUCCUACAAUCAUGAAUAGUCGAGCCUCAUCUCCUGUCCUCCCGGAGAAGCAUGAUCAGUUUGAUCAAAGCUCGAAGGAAAAGAGUGACCUUUAUCGAGCAAAUAUUGUCUCAGAUAUUAAUACUGAAUCUUGGCAGAGUAAUGAUUUUAAAGACGUAUUGACUGGCUCUGAUGAGGCUGAUGGAUCACCUGCUGCAGUUACUGAUGAAGAGCACUGUCAGAUUGGCAAUGAUUGCAAGAAAACAUUGGAGGUACCAAAAGCCGCUUCCUCGUCAUCUGGAAAUGAAAAUAAAUCUGGAAAUUUGCAGGAUGCUUCUUACACCUCAAUAAAUGCUUUAAUUGAAGGUGUUAAGUACUCUGAGGCUGAUGAUGUUGGAAUGAAUCUUCUUGCGAGUGUGGCUGCUGGAGAGAUUUUGAAAUCUGAAUUGUUAACUCCAGCUGGAUCUCCAGAAAGAAACACUACUGCUGUUGAACAGUCAUGCACAGGCAAUGGUGUUGUUAAGUCCUCUGAAGAGAAUCUUGUCCGGGAUGAAUGCCACUCAAAUAAUGGUCUUGAUGGUGAACAUAAGAAUCAGGGUUCUGUAACAGGUGAUUUAGGGGUAAAUGAUGAAAGUGAUUCUGAUUUUCGAGCUUCUGAAGAGAAAGCUGCAAGAGAGCUAAAUAAGUGUGUUAAUGCAUGUAGUAUGGAUUUGCAACAGGUUUCUGAAACUAUUUUAGAAAGCAAAGGAAAAUUAAACAAAAAAUCUGUAUCUACUGCAUUGGGUGGCCUUUCUGAAAGUUCUGUACAAGAAGCUAGAGAUGGUGACAGAAGCAAGCAGCUCCAGGAGGUUGGUCGGGGAGUGAAUGCUGAUGAAAUUGUUGAUGUUAAGGUCAGUUCUGUUGCAGAAGUUAAGGCAGAAGCAACUGAAAAAUUGUCACAUAUAGCUGUGGAAGUGGAUGUACAGAGUGAUAACUGUACUACUGAAGUAUCAACUGGUGGUGGACAGACAGCUGCUAUUCUUGUUCAGUCUGAUUCGGCAAGAGGAAAAGAUGAGAAUGUACUCCAUUCUUCUGCUUAUAGUGUUGAUAAGGUUCCUGAAGACUUGACUGAACGGGAGUUUGAAAAAGCUGAUGAUGUUGAUGCUGAGAAUCAUUCUAGUCAGUCUAAAAAGCAAAGAAAUGAGUGUGAAAGUGAUGCCUUGACAAUGCCUGAGGAUAGAGGUUUAUGCUCUAUUGUGACUGGUAUUGCUGCUGAACAUGUGGAGGAAAAUUUAGAAACGAAAGAGGUUCAUGACCAACCUGCCAGAGAGGAACUUCCCAAAGAUUCACCUAGUGUCCUUUCACAAGAAAUGGAUAAGCAUCUUGAUUCUAAAGGGUCAAAAUUGAUUGCCAUGGAAGCGGAGGAGGCUGAGGAGUGCACCUCUACCACUGCAGAUGCUUCUUCCAUGUCUUCUGCAGCUGUGUCAGAUGCAGAUGCUAAGGUUGAAUUUGAUUUAAAUGAAGGGCUCAAUGCAGAUGAUGGGAAAAGUGGCGAGUUCAACUGCAGUGCACCUGCUGGUUGUUUGGUCAGUCCUGUGCCGUUUCCUGCUUCAUCUAUGUCUUGUGGUAUUCCUGCUCCUGUCACCGUGGCUGCUGCUGCAAAGGGGCCCUUUGUGCCUCCUGAAGAUUUAUUGAGAAGUAAAGGGGAAAUUGGUUGGAAGGGAUCAGCUGCCACUAGUGCAUUUAGGCCAGCCGAGCCCAGGAAGGUUAUGGAAAUGCCUCUUGGUGCACUAACUACCUCUAUACCUGAUGCUCCAGCUGGAAAGCAGAGUCGAGCACCAUUGGAUAUUGACUUGAAUGUGGCUGAUGAAAGAAUACUUGAUGAUAUUUCUUCUCAAACUUAUGCUCGUCACACUGAUUCUGCAUCUCUUGCAACUGAUGAUCAUGAUCCUGUAUGCAGUAAAAUGUCUUCACCUCUUCGCUGCUCUGGAGGGCUUGGUCUUGACUUGAACCAAGUGGAUGAAGCUUCUGACGUGGGCAAUUGCUUGAGCAGUAAUCAUAAAAUUGAUGUGCCAAUUAUGCAGGUGAAGCCAUCAUUGGGUGGUCCACCAAAUCGAGAAGUGAAUGUCCACAGGGACUUUGAUUUGAACAAUGGACCUUCAGUUGAUGAAGUCACCACUGAAUCCUCAUUGUUUUCUCUGCAUGCCAGGAGCAGUGUGCCAUCUCAACCGCUUGUUUCUGGACUUAGGGUGAGUACUGCUGAGCCAGUCAACUUCUCUUGGCUUCCUUCCAGUGGCAACACCUAUUCUGCUGUCACAAUAUCUUCAAUUAUGCCUGAUAGAGGGGAUCAUCCCUUUUCAAUUGUUGCCCCAAAUGGGCCACAAAGGUUGUUGACUCCUGCUGCUGGUGGCAACCCAUUUGGACCUGAUAUUUAUAGGGGGCCAGUAUUGUCAUCUUCUCCUGCAGUGUCAUAUGCAUCUGCUCCAUUUGAAUAUCCUGUCUUCCCUUUUAAUUCCAGCUUUCCUCUUCCAUCAGCUUCUUUUUCUUCUGGAUCAACUACUUAUGUAUAUCCAACAUCAGGCAAUCAGCUUUGCUUUCCUGCGGUAAAUUCACAGUUAAUGGGGCCUGCUGGUGCAGUUUCAUCUCAUUAUCCCAGGCCUUUUGUUGUUGGCCUUGCAGAAGGUAGCAAUAGUGGUAGUGCCGAGACCAGUAGAAAAUGGGCAAGGCAGGGUUUAGAUCUUAAUGCAGGACCUGGAGGUUCAGAUGUGGAUGGGAGAGACGGGAAUUCUCCUCUUCCAUCUAGGCAACUUUCUGUUGCUAGUUCACAGGCCCUAGCUGAGGAGCAAGUAAGGGUCCAGCUGGCUGGUAGUGUUCGUAAGAGGAAGGAGCCUGAUGGUGGGUGGGAUGGCCACAACCAAUCCUCAUGGCAAUAGCAAAAUAUAUAAUCAUACAAUCUAAUGACCACAAAUGCUUGUAAGUGUUUAGAUUUGUAUAUUCAAAUGUUUGUAACACUUUGUCACUUGUGGGAGAGGAUCUGAAAAUAUAUCCUGUGUCAUGCUGAUGUAAUUCAGUGAGGGGGUUACUUUUUUCGUUAAGAAAUAUAUUUAAAUGAUAAAGGAAUAAAUGCUAUUGCCAUUUCUCUGUGGGCGGUCUUCUGUCCCAUCUUCAUUGAGAAAUCCUGCUCUUUUGCAGCCUACUGUGGCUCUCCUAUAUUUCAUUUUUCUUGCUAGUUUAUUUUUAACUAACUUUUUUUUCUUUCUUUGGUGAUUCCCAAUUAAAUGUUUUACUAAAUAUCUUGUCUUCAGUGAUUUGAGGAUUUGGCAAUGGUCAACUUCCAGCGAUCAUCCAAUUUUUGCUUUUGGGAGAAUUGGGUGGUAAGUGAGUGCCUGAUUAUGUUAAGUAGACUCCGAUCCCCAAUCCCUUUAACAAAUGUAUUUUAAAGGACACUUUCCGGGGGGUGGGAUAAUUGUUUGCCCCUACUUCUAGGUGGCUCCAGAUCAAUUUUUCCUUUGUAGAUAGGGGACCAUACUUGUUGCAUCCAUAUUCAGUUGUGUUAUGAUGCUAAAUUAUGAUAUUUUCCUUUUUAGCGCACAUAUAAACAUACAAAUAGAUGCUAGCUGGGGACCGACGAAUUUGGCAACUGAGUUCUUCCUCUGUUGUGGUUGAUAUAUGCUGUAUCCCAGUUUCCUUCACAUUUAAUCAUUAAACUCUUCCGUACCGUGUCUUCUGGAUAUUGCUAGCCCUUAACUAGUGUAGUGUAUUCAUUAUUAUUACUGGAAUUUAGUUUUUUUUAGUCACUUCUGUAUUUGGCACGAUGAUUUUGGUGAUGGAUUACUGGCUGGAAUAGGAGUCUCUCUAAGAUGGUUGGUUAUGAAUUUAAUUUUCUUCUGAAUGUUUAUAAGCUGCAGAAACCAUAAAAAGUUCUGAUCCUUGAUAUCAGUGCCAGCAACUUUGUAGGGAUACUGGCUGGCUGAUUUAUGGGGUUUGGUUAUUGAGGGAGGAAGAGAGAAGAGAAAAUUAAACAUGAAUUGUGUUUGAUAUAUUCAUAAAACCUAGAACACUAAUUUAUAGAAAACCAAGAAAAUAUAGGAACUAAUCUUAAGAGAUAGUGAGAAAAUAGGAAACUAAAUUUAAAAGUUAAUCAAGAUAUGAUACAUUGUCAUUUUUCUGAAACUGUCUAAUUCCGUGUCGUACAAAAUUUGUCUUGCCACACUCCAGUCUUUUUGUAUAUCAUUAGUUUCACUGUAAUGUUGUGUAAUGUACUAUAAGAAUUUACGAUGUCAUUUUCAUUGGUGUUAAGUUGGAAAGGGGGAAAUGGAACGAGAUUGACAAGUGUGUGAUUCUCACUCCUUUUGCUCGAUAAAGAACAAAAAAAAACUCAACAUUAUCGAAUUUCGAAAUGGUUUCUAAUUCGAGAUGCAACGUAAAUGGGUCUUACAUUACUUAUAAGCUAUAAUAGUCCUAUAUAUUUGCAGUGACAAGCAAGUGGUUUUAGAUUAAAUUUCCCAGCUUAUUAAAGAGGAAAUUUCUUAAUGUAAGGUUACGUAAUAUUUGUUCACUGAUUCGGACGCUUUAACAUUGUACAGUUGUGUUGUUGGAGGCCAAAAUUUUCUCUUAGAAGGUGAAGGCAGAAGGAGUCUUGGGUCAAGUGGUAAUUUAUCUGCUUGAGAGAUUUGAUGAAGAUUAUCAAGAAUACAGCAUGCUCUAGAGAAAAAAAGAGACUCGAUUUGAAACUUGAACGCUUCCAAAAUAAAUAAAGGGUAGCUAGCAAACAAACUCACUCUGCUUUAUUUACAAGCUAUCGGGUGCAACUGUUUUUUAUAGUUCCUCAAUACAUUAAAACCCAUAAGAUAUUAAAUUAAAUUAAAUAUAACCAAAUGUAAGUAGCUAUUCUGCAAAUUCCAGCCAAGUGAUUUUAGGUUAAGUUUAAAAUUUCUACACGGCGGUAACAGGCUUCUCCCCCUAGCACGUGAAACCUUUGGAUGAGAUACUGAUGAAGUGUUUUCACUUAAGACGAACAAUGUUCCUUCCACAGAGGACAUUUCUGCAUUUUCAGAGAUAGAUUAAACCCAAGAACAAAAAGUUAUAAACUAAUCACAAUCUGCAACUAAAACCUAAUCAUGGCUCGUGAUAGUAAUAUUACCAUGAAAACAAGGCGCCAACAUGAAUAAGAUUUUAUCAUGUGAAUAUAGUGCUGUACUUUCUUUUAGGCAGAUGCUAACUAAUGUCCAAGUUAAGGAAGUAAAAAGGAUUUUUUAUUGGGAUACGAAAAAAUGAACUCAUCUAUGAUUUUAAAUUGUGCUCUCAUAUGUUUUUUCUAAUUAAAUCUUUUCUCUUUUAGGAUACUCGUUAGCAAGAUUCUUUAUUUUAUUACAGCCAGAUAGCGGACACUAUAACUGCCACUAAAUGAGUAGUGCAUCCUUUUAUAAACUAAGGUGCUUUAAUGGGAGUUGCCAUGUUAUUCAUUAUUGUUUUCCUUAAGUAUUGGUAACCUAACCUAACUAGUUCUUAAAUAUUUUAUUAGUUGUUGAUUCUUACAAUAAAUUUUUGGGUAAAUAAAACCAACUAAUAAAAUAUUUGAUUACUAAAUUGGAUAGAUUUUGGAUUAAGUAGAGCAGCCACAAGAGGGGACCUCAAUGGGAUGUCAAAAUAUAAAAUAGUUGAAAUGGAAAUCGCGAGUGUGAAAGAAAAAGGGUUACCCUUAUCCCCUCCCCUGCACAAAAAUAAAAUUAUAUAAAGCUGUUAGAUAUAAUAAGGAAAAAGUGUACUGACAGGAAACAGCCACGUGGUUUUUUCUUCCUUUUCUCGUUUUGCUUUUGUGGAGGCUUGAUGACCAUUCUGAUCGCAGCAUCAAAAACUGCCUUCACAUUCUGAAACGGUAUUAGAAGUAAAUUUAUUUCAGGCAGAAUAUUUGUUUAAACAUCAAAGUAUUGAUCUGCAAAAAUGAUGAAAAAUAUCUUGCAUACCAAAUUGAUACACCAAUAGAUCCUUUGUCAACAAACAUCACAUGACAUGAGCAAACAAACUAAAUGGCAUAGCUUUAUAUUAGAAUUUUCACAUCUAAAAAGCAUCCAUUUGAUAAUUUUGCAACUUUAUUAAGACAUAAUGCUCAAUAAGGUUUGGUUUUUAUCAUCACAGAUGAUGCUCUAAGCAUCCGUUUGGUGAACUAGCAUCUUUUGUAUAGUACUAAAGCAACAUAACGAAAUUACCUCUUUUGGUCCGAAAUUUUGCAUGAAUGAUUUAAAUUAUUGCACAUCAUUCGCGCCUACCAUAUUUUAUAUUUUUAUUUAAAUUGCAUUCCUCAGUAUGAUGCAUCAUAAGUGGAGAGGAAAGCUAGUUUCUUUAGAUGACAAUUUGUGGUAUUUUUUCAUAUUCAGCUUGAAACAUUGAAAAACUGCAAGAAUAAAAUGGUUAGUAUAAUCAUACCUGCUGAGUUUUUGAGCUGCACUCAAUAUAGUAGGUAGCUCCAAUAUGUUUACGGAGUUCCUCACCCUAGUUAUGAACAAAAGACCAACAGUUUUAAAAUUAAUGCGUGUUGAACUCUAUACACAUAAUGAAGGGAGAUUUGUACUUGCUCAGUAGUCACGGGCACCAAGCCAGGAUGAUCAGCCAUAUAGUGCCUGUCUUCGCGCAGAUCUGCAUGCUCAUCAUAAACACAGUAGCAAUGCAUGUCAAACUACCACCAUAUAGAAGAUAGAUGUCCAAAGUGUUUUCUUUUUCUUUUUGUUUUUUUAAAUCUAAUUGUUCGGUGAUAAUUUUUUUACCACCAUCAGAGAUGCAAGAUAAAUAAAAUCUAAAGCUAUGCUGCAACAUAAGAUUUGCUUUAGGAUGUGCUGAAGCCAAAAACAGCAGAACUGUUCAACUAUCAGUGGACUAGGUCUUCUAUAUGGAACACAAGAGACCGAAAUUUGUUUGAUCAAAACACUAAAUUCUCCAAAGUAACAAAUGAUUCAAGUACAAAUAAAGGAGAACGGAGAACCAGAUUAAUUGUUGUAUAUUCAAUUGUUACAGUUGAUGGUCAGCAUUCUGCAUCAUGAAGCCUAAUUGAAAUUGAAUCAUUUACGAAAUAAUUUUGUAAUAUUGUCACGGGGCUUCCUUCUCAUGAUCCAAGCUUCAUUUUUUAUUAUUUUGGUGAAAAAAACUUUGACUUCCUUGUGUGAUGGAUGAUCUAAUAUUGAUCAAUUAAAAGGGAUAAGAACAUUAAAGCUACACUAUGAGAAUAGCCUUUAAAGCUUAUAGCACCAUAGUUCUUCUUUACUCCAAUAAAAGUAGAUGGCAUCAAUGGUAUAAGGCAUGACAUAGUUGCAGCAAAAUUUUUUGGUCAACCAAAUGCAACUUCCUUAGUGGAUCACCAACAUGUGAUGAAGUAGAUGUAAACUAAAAUGUCUUCACUAUAAUAGACAUGGACAAGUUUUGAGGUGCACAUAUAAGCACAUUCAACAUGAAUGCCAAGUGCCAACCUUCACAAAAUUUGGAUAAAUGAGUUUGUUAAGUUUAAAAAAGUAUUCUCUGGCACAAAACUUUGUGCAUAUUUUUUUAAUGAGUUGUGUUGUUAAACAGUUAAAGAGAACAAUAAAUCUAUGCAAAAUGGUCAUAUGUUUCAACCUAACAAAAUAAAGUUUUAAGAUUCUAAUCUAAGAAUAAAUGCCAGUUCCUAUAGUUCAGGCAAGGGAAUAGAUGAAGUUUUAGUCUUCUAGUCCCUCAUUUCUUCAUAUGUGGCUGGAUGCUUUAUGAAGAAUUCGAUAAUCAAUAUACUAAAAAUCUAUAAUUGGAAGAAAAAUUAGCAUGAGACUAAGACAAGCAUUAAUACAAUUGAAUGAUGACUUACCCAAUUUUGUGCCAACUAAUACCAAUGGGAUGCCAGGGGCAAAAUGCUGGAGUUCAGGGAUCCACUGGACAGUGCAUACAAAUUAGAGAACAAAAGAGAAAUCUGCAAGACAUCAAAAGUACCAAAUUCAGAGAUACAAGCACUGAAGCAUACCUUCUUCAGCACAUUCUCAUAGCUUGCGCGACUAACUAAAGAAAAAGCCAAGACAAAGACAUCUGCCCCCCUGUAGCUCAAGGGCCUCAGCCUGUUGUAAUCCUCUUGCCCUAAGGAAGAUAAUGGAAACAAAUACAACAUAACAACCUUUUUCUUUUGACAAAUAUCAUUCUAUCAGCCAAACCAGAAAACAAUCCCCAUCAUCAUUCAUUUGAACAAAUUUGAUUGAUACGUCCUGUGGUUUAUUGAAAUUGCACUACCUUUUUAAGAUUUACACUUUGCAAUAACUCUUCUUAUGGGGAUACAUGGUGUAAUGUAUUUCAAACAAUUAAGAGAAAUUACUAUAGCGGCUAAAAAGGCAGGAGUAUUGUGUGCUAUCUCAAGAAACCACAUGGGGUGUCACUAUAAUUUGUUUGUAUUUUUUUUAAAAUGUUUGUGUAUAACUGAACACCAACCUUAAAAAAAAACACUAUAACAAGUUUCAUACCAGCUGUAUCCCAAAGGCCUAAAUUGACAGUUAUGCCUUCAACAACCACAUUUGCACUGAAAUUAUCAAACACAGUGGGGAUAUAGUCCUGAUGAUCAACAUAGGGGGAAGCAAAAUCAGAUAAACCCAAUGGUGAAGCUUCACAAGAUAACAACUGGGUUACUUUCUGCACUUAGCACACACAUAAAACAGUUUUCUUUACUCAAAUUAAGAUGAUUUCAACAGAACAGAGAAAAAUUCAGAAAGCACACAUACACACACACACACACAUAGUGGACAUUACAAAACAAAAAUAACAUCAAACGAUGGCAAUUCAAUAAAAAAAUGAUCUCUUGAAAACAAAAGAUGUGGAAGAAAGCAUCCACACCGUGGGGAAUUUGUUGCUGGUAUAGCAAAUGAGCAUGCAGGUCUUCCCUACAGCUCCAUCGCCAACGGUCACACACUUGAUGAAUCUUGGGGCAGUUGCAGCAGCCAUUGGAACAAGAAGAAAAGAAGAAACUUUCUCAGAAUAAUUUAAGCAAAACAAAACAGAAGUGGGGUUGUUUUGUUGUGUGUUGGAUUGUUAAAGAUUGAAGCUUUUUUUUGAUUGAACCAGAGACAGAUAGAGAGAGAAAGAGAGAGAGAGUGGCGGCACUUCACAUGAUUCUCACUCAUUCCCUCUUUUUUGUACCGGCCAAUUAUUUUUUUCCUUUUUAAUAUUAGUCUUUGCAAAUGCAAUAGUUUCCAACUCUGCAUUAAAAAAUGGAACUGGGUAUUUAAUUGGAUAAUAACAUGCGAAAAUACUUUUUCUACACUAUAAUGCAGAUUAAUUAAGAUUAGUUUGAAUACAAAUUAUUCUAGUUAUAUAUUACGAUUUAAAUGUAUGAAAUUUUAAGAAAAACGAACACUAACAUAUAUAUACACUAUCGCAAUUUUACUUCCUUUUGAAGUAGUACAUAUUUCCAAAUUGGAAGAAGUUUUUUUCUGAAAUUUAUAACUGGCUCUUUUAAUGAUAAGUUAUAGCAAACUCGUACAUCACAUGACUCGUAUGUAUUUAUUAACACAUAAGUGCCUUUCAUUACACAUUUUAUAUUUUUUUUAUAAAUUUUAAAAAAUUGAAAUAUAAAUUUUGUUUUAUUAUUAUAACUUUAUAAUAGGUGCAUUUAGAUCACUUUUAAACAAAGAUUAAAUUUAAAGGAAUGUCUUAAGUAUUAAUAAACAUUUACAAGUCACGUGAUUGGUUUUGAUUUGUUCAUAGACAAAAAUGAUAGAUGUGGAAAAAAAUAAGUGAAAAAGGAAAACAAUAGUUGUUAUGAACCGUCUUUAACGUUUGUGAAUAACUUCCUUACGUUUUGCAUUAAAAAAAAAAAAAAAACUUUCUUACGUUGGUGUUUGAUUAUUUUAAAUUAGGGAGAUUUUAAAAAAUGAAUAAUGGAUUAGGUUCAGUAGUUUUAAACUCAUAUUGAGUGUUGAGGAUGACAAUUAUUUGUAUAUAUAUAUAUAUAUAUAUAUAUAUGUGUGUAUAUUCAUUUUUUCAAAAUAAAAUUUCAGUUCAACUAUUGUAUAUAUAGAGAAAAAUUCUUGCUGCAAGAAUUAACUCAAAUAUGUUGUAGAUAUUUUUUUUUUCUAUUUUAAUAUAAUUAUUUCUUAUAAAGGAUGUAAGUUGUCUUCGAUAAAAUUUAUCAAUUACCUUUAAUGUUGUUCUUGAAAUUUUAUUCAACUUAUUUAAUUAAAUUGUUUUGCGAAGGAUUUUAUGUUAUCAUAGUAAGUUUGUAGCAGAAAAAAGGUAUUUUGUAUCAAAUAACUAGUGACGAAAUAAUUAUUGUUUUAAAAUAAAAAAUAGUAAAAAAUAAAAAUUAUACUAUAUUUUUAUUAUCUUCUUUUAGAAUUAGUAUUCGGUGUGAAGUUGGUGCAUUUAUUAUUCAUACGCGGCAUGGGCCCAUGAUAAGAGUGUUUGGUGGUCCAACCCGCUUCAAGUCCUCAACAGCGUUGGAUUGGAGGUAACAUACGUCCUUGCAUUUAUUAUUACUAUUAUUAUAACUAUGAACUAUCAAUUUAUUAUUAUUUUAUUUAAUUUUAUUCUGUAUUUAAUUAUUAAUUAGAAAUCACUAUAAAUAUUAAGUUUUAAAUUAAUUAUUAUUACAAAAAUAAUAAUCUUAUCAUAUGUCAUUUACUUAUGAAUUAAUGCUUUUUAAUUAAUUAAUUUGACAUGCUUGGUUGCGUUUUUGUGUUUGAAUCUUGCAUAAAUUAUUACGGGCCUAUUCUUUUAAAACAAAUAUGAUAGGUACAUAUGAAAAAAAUUAACAAGAGGUUUUUACAUUGGCAAUCACAUCUUUUUAGGAAAAAUAUUUUUCUAAUCAAUUAAAUAUCUUUAUUCUGUAUAAAAAUUUAGUAGGGUUAAUUAAAAAUAUAUUUUAAAUAAAAGUAUGAUGUAAAAAUAAUUUUCUAUAAUUGAUUUGCCUAGGUCAUAGACCACGAAUGUCCACCAACUCACUAGAUUAGGUACUAAUUCUGCUUACGAUGCAUGAUUGUCGUUGGUUCAAGAGAAUUUUACAUACCAUGAAUAUUGAAUAUGAGUUUUUCCACUAAAUAAAUUGUUCCUACUCAUAUGAACCCAGUGAAACCUUACAUUACUGUGCCAAUCCUUUAGGUUUUUUAUAAUUGAUACUGAAAAAUUAAUUUAGGGGGGUGUAUUGGAUUAAGAUUUCAAAGGAUUUUAAAAGACUUUUUUAUGAUUAAAAAGUCUUGUGGUAUUCAAUCAAGACUUUUAUAAAAUAUAAACAAAUCUUGUGGUAUUCAAUUAAGACAAUAAAGAUUUUUUUUUCAGGGCAACAAAAUCUGUUGGUAUUCAAUUGAGAUUUCUUACCACUUUUAAAAUGUCUUUUGGUAUUCAAAAGUAAAUAGAUUUUGAUGGAUUCUUUUGUGGAAUGGAUUUUGAGAGACUUUUUAGUUAGAAAUACACAUAAAAUACUCCUCCAACAAUCUCACCCAAACCCUUGAGACUUUUCAUAAUCUUCCAAAGACUUUUUCUUCUCCUGCCGAACAAGACACAAACCACUACCAGGUUCAUUCUCUUACAACUUUUCAAUCAAUUUUACCUAUUUUUUUAAUGGCAAUCGAUAGUCAAUAUUGUUCAUACUAUAUGUAUAUUACGCAAAUCAAAAGAAAAGGGUGCUGCAUAUGCUCCAAUACACCCCCCUCCCCUCUAUUUCUUGAAAAAUUAUUUGAAUUAUAUAAAAAUUGUUUUGUAAUAAAUUUACACACACAUAUAUUGAACACUUUAUUGAUAUUUUUUUAUCACAUCAUAUCAUUUAUUGUACUUAUAUUUUUUCUUCUUUUUUCUUUUUUUAAAUAACAUUGUGAUUUCCAAUAAUUAUUUUUUGUAGAACUUUAUUUUUUAUAUCUAAGUGUCUAGUAGAAGGCGUGUACAAUAUAUUUCCUAAGUUUAACCUUUAAAACUUUUUUUUUUAAUAAUUGUCCGAAGUGAAACAAAUGGGCAAACUUUGGAGCUCUUAGAAUAGACUGCAAUACUCCACAUGCCGUGACAUAACUUAGGGAAUUAUUAUGCACACCCCAACUUAUUGUUUAGAUCACGCCCUUUAAUUGAAAAGUCCAAAAUAUCAUUUCCUCUUUUGUACUAAACCAGUUAUCAAGCACCUCUCCUUUGUAUUCUUCUUCAUCUUCAUGCACCUGUUCUCCUAAAAUCAAUGAUCAUCCUUGAUCCUCUACUUGUGUUUCUCCUCGUAGUGGCACCCCUUUCUCUUCGGUCAUGGCGAGUUAUGUCAAUUCCAUAUUGCUAAAAAUGUUAGAGCAAUACGGGAUUUAUGUGAGUCUCAUGGAGGAAUGGGGCAACAUCUUGGAUGCUUGGUUAUGAGUUUAUAUCUUCUUCUAAUGAGUUUGCGUAUGACCAACCAUUGGACGAAUUUGAAGAUAUUUGCUCACAUUUUCCUUUAUUCAUUGAUUAUUUGAAGAAUACAUGAUUAUACCACAUUAGGAGAAUUUGUUAUGACAUGGAUAUAUCAAGUGAUGCACCUUGGAAAUACAACAACAAAUAGAUUUAUUUUUGUUUGCAUAUUAAUUUGACCUUAAGAAAUAAUUUCAAAGUAUUUAUUGUGAUUUCAAUGUACAAUUGAGAGAUAGCAUAAGAAACUUGUGUAGUUAUUGUGAUUUCAAUGUACAACAUGAUCAAAUUGAAAGGAUUUGUGUAACUAGGAGAAAUUUCUGUUGUGAAAAGAAACUCUUAUACUUAAUAGAAAAUUGUUUUUGUUGUGUAUUUCAUCUAGAUACACAAUGAAAACAUAUUUAUGUUGUGUGCACUUACUCACAAAACAAAUUACUUUCGUAAGAAAAAAUAAUACUAACAUGGCGGGGGUUUAAAUAGAAAUAAGGGAGUGCAACAACCCCACAACUUAUUAUUCUUUUUUUAAAUUGUGCACUUUCUAGAUUGUUUUGGGCCUUCUUGUUUUUAUUUGGGUUUGCUAGCUAGGCUAUUGCAUCUUGCACCUCCCAUUGCAUUCCAAAAAUCUCAUUUUAGAAUAGAAAUUACCAUUUUGAAUGGGCUUUUCAAAAUGCAAUGUGAAGUACAAGAUACAAUAGUAGGAGUGCAGAAAACAAAUGUUAGGUUGCUAUAGCCCCUAUAGAUUUGCUAUUGGCUCCUACCACCAUUCAAUUUUUUUAACAAAACCCUUUCUUGCAUUGCAAAAUGGAAUCGCGAUUCCAUUGUACAUCGUUCAACAAAAUUGUGAUUUUGUUAUACAUUUUUUUUGCACCCCCAAAGUGCAACAAAAUUCUGUUGGGUGGAAAAUAUGCACAACAUAAUCACGAUCCAUUGUGCAAGUGGGGGUCAAUAAAGCAUGAACAAAGGAAGUAUGAUUCCGUUGCACAGCGUAUAAUAGAAUCAUACUUUUGUUGGGCCUUUUGUUUUCUUGAAAAAAUAUAUAACAGAAUCACAAUUCUAUUGUAUAUUUUUUAUUUUGGUUUUUUAAUGUUUUGACAAAUAGGUAUCACAGAUGAAAAUAACUUAUGUAUUAAAUCAAAUUUCAUAGAAGUUUCUUUUACAUAUUGAGAUACGCAUCCAUAAAAUUAAUUGGAUAUACAUUCAACAUUUAAAAUUAUUUUAAUCCAUAGAAAUGUGUACUACAUAUUGAGAUCCUUUACUUGAAUGAAAUUGUAUUGAGUUGAAAGCUUGCAUGCGUUUCAUGUAAGGCUUUUGUCACAAAUGGGUUUUGGGUGUGAAGUAUCUUUUUUACUGUGGUAAAACAAGAGGAAAUGAACAAUUAUCUUUUAAAAAAAAGUUAUAUUAUCAUAGAAAAGAUGAACUGAGCGAAUAAAUCAAUAUUAGCUUACAAAAGUAAAUGAUAUCUUUAGUGAAUAAUACAUACAUGCACAAAGUAAUUUCCAUUGACAAAUCCAAUUGUAACGAGACAAGGAGCAGAUGGUGUGGGAUUCCUAAUUAAGUGGAAAGAAGGUUCAACUUUGCAGCCUAGAUAAGUGGGCCAAUGCAACAUUAUACCGCUAAUAAUGACAUAACCCAUGUCAGGAAUGGUCAUCCACUUCGCAGUGGGUAUUGAACCACUUUCAACAUACAAGAGGUUAUUAAUUUCAAUAGUCUUUCUUCUGAGCCAAGUAAUUCAACAUAGAGAAGGUGUCAUAUUUGAAGUUCUCAAAUCAAAUCUUGGCAACGAGAGACCAAGAGUCCCUACCUUGGCUUAACAAAGCUGCAAUUAUCUUGUAAUUACAAUUUCCAUUCGGUGUGACAUCAACAAUGUUUAGAAUGUAUUGUUGCAACUCAUUAGAAAAUCCAUUCACAUAAUGAUCCAUUUUUGUCUUCUUGUUUUCAUGGCCAACUUGUGAGCCACACUUAGAGUUCUCGAACUACCAAUCAUCGUGUUCAUUUCAUCAACGUGCUCCCACAUUGAAGGUUCACGUUUGAUAUAUUUCACAAACUUCGAUGCACCUUUUUUAGAGUUCCUGAACUACCAAUCAUCGUGUUUAUUUCAUCAACGUGCUCCCACAUUGAAGGUUCACGUUUGAUAGAGAUCACAAACUUCGAUGCACCUUUUUUUUUUACUUUCUCUUGAGGGGGACACAUUGAAGUGGUAUUUGAAAAUGUAAAUUCACAGAAUUUAAUCUUUAAGGUCAUUUUACCACACACGUAUAGUUGUGAAAAUAUCUUAAACAAAGCAUCGACCUUAUGUGUCAGGGUUAAGUCCCCCUAAGAGUCACCCUUAUUUUAUAAACUAUGAAUGGAUAACAUCUUCCAAUGUACAUGGAUGCACUUCAAGGGAAUAAAGCCAUAUAUACUGAUAAAUUCAACAAGUUCACAAGCACAUGGUAGACCUGAGUAACUUUAAGUGUGUAGCCACAAGCAUAAUUGUCAAUACCUAUAGUGUCAACCUGUUGCAACUCAUGGAAAAUGAUGUCUUAUGCUUCUCUUUAUACAUAGAUGCACAAAUUCUUAUAUAUUAGGGUAUCAAACCUAUGCUUAACCAUAUUUAUGUUUUUCUGAAGCAAAGCUUUAAUUGUCAUACGUUGCAAGACAAACAUCUUAUUCAUUGCAUCCCAACAACUACACAAAUCUCUUAUGCUAUCUCAAAGCAACUGCUUCAAUCUCGCAUGUAUGCCUUCAACCCUAAUAUGCAACAAAAAUGAAAUGUAAGAAAUUAUGCAAUUAACAAAAUGAAAUGUUAAAAAUGGCUAAUUUCAAUGAAUUUAUCUACCUAUUUGUUGUUGUGUUGCCAAGAUACAUGACCCAAUAAACCCAUGCUUGUACAAACUUCUCCUUAAAAGGCAUAAACCAUGCGUUUUGGACAUACUCUACAAAUACUUUAUAACAUAUGCACUUGUUUGUAAAGCUUUUCAAGCGUUCGUUAUAUGAUUUUUCAUCUGGAGAUUGGAGCAAUAGCUCCUAAGCAUCCAUUUCAUUUUGCCACUCUCUAGCCUUAUCCAAAUGGAUUUUUCAUUUUGUGCUGACAUUUUUUGUAAUAAAAUAAACAUAAAAAGUUGGUUGAAGAAGGAAGCACAGUCUCCAAUGCAUUAAAUGAAAGCAAGAUCCCUAUAACUGACAAAAAGCUGAAGCAACAAAGCAUUUUUCUUACACAAUCCUUUCACCUUACUUAAAGCCCAUUCAAAAUUAUCUACUUUCUCAUAAAUUAAAUAAACAAAGGCAAUAACAAAAGUCAUGUUUUUUUUGAAGUGAUAUCAACAAUUUCUAACAAUGGAAGAUGAUAUCUAUUUGACUUGUAAGUCGUAUCGCCAAUCAUUAUUGUUGGGAAUGAAUUUAGGAGUUUGAUGGAAUCUAAAUGUGUCCAUAAUGUAUCUUUGUCGACAUCUUCAUUGUCUAAUUGUCUAAACUAGGUAUGAUAAUCGGUAGGGUUUUAGGUAGGGUCCUAUAGUACUCGUCCCCAUACUCAUGUUCUGAAAAAAUCCCCAUAGUCGGCCCUAUACAUGCUGAGGUAGCAACUUUAAUCCUCAUACCCAUUGGGUACCUAUAUACCUAUACCUGUACCCGAGACCCACACUUUACUUAUGAUAUAAAGUUAAUAAAUCAAUAUAAAAAUUAAUCAAAAAAAUUACUAAAAAUUCAAAAUGCAUUCUUAAAUUUAAAAAAUAAAACAUUAAGAACAUGUUCACACAAUAUUAAAAACAAAUAAGCAUAGCACUGAUUCAUCAAAACUCAAGUCAUAAAUAAACAACAUUACAAAUAUAAUAAUCCAACAUAACAUGAUUCUUAAAGUUAAUGCUUUAUUUGCUUAACAAAAACACUAAUUAAACUUGGACAUCAUGUGGUGAUAAUACUCUCCAAGACUAGUAAAAAAAUAGUAAAACUAAUUAGCUCAUAAUUAUAUAUUAUAAAUUAAAAAAACACAAACAAAUAGGAUAUUUGACCUCAUCAUAAAAAUCAACUUCUCCAUAUUUUUGUAAGAACCUAUCUCCAAAUUCUAUAUAUUGCUUUGAUCCCCCAAUACCAAUAGAAACUAGAACAUGACAAAAAGACAAAUGCAUUAGACCUAUCACAAAUGUUAAAUAAAACUAUCAAUAGAAGACAAAACAACAAUUGAAUAAACAAAAGAAUGUAAUUUUUAUUACCUUGUUGCUUAUGUUUCAUUUAGCUUUGUGCACACAUAAGUGCCUCCAAAGUAAACUCAUGAAGCCUAGAACGAUGAGGACUCAAUAACCUACCUCCCAUGUUGAAAGUAGAUUCUAAAGCAACAAUUGAAAUUAUAUUGUCAAAACAUCCUUAGUAGUUUUCUGCAUAAUUGGAUAUUUGAUCCCAUUUGUUUUCCACCAUCAAAGAAUGUCAAAAUUAGCACUCAUAAGCAAACCUUUCUCAUCCAAGUAGAGAUCUAGUUCAUACAUUGUUUGUAUCUUAAUUGUUUUAUUCUCAAAUGAGUCAUAGUCACUAAGGAAAUUGCUAACUUCUAGAUUAUCCAAGUUUGACUCAAUAUCAUUUUCAUGUGAAGUUGAAUUUUCCAUUAUUCCCUUUGUCUUAAUAUGGUACUCUUCAAAUAAUGAGUAACACAACUUCCUGAUAUUGUUCAUUUCAAUUGAAGAUGAACUUCCAUAAAGCUUAGAGAAAAAGUACUCCAAUAACUUAAAUUUGUAUCUUGGAUUUAAAAUAAUAACAAUUCCUAUAAUUCCAUGAAUAACAUACCAAUAUUUCUCAAAUUUGGCAACCACUUUUGAAGCCAUAUUUUUAAUAGCUACAAUUGGACAAAUUUGCCACUGCUACAAAGAGAGCUAAAUUUGUUUUGUCAAAGGGAAGGAUGCCUUGGUUGUUUGAUAUAGUGUCCCAGAAAACAUUUCAGUUACACGAUUAAAAACUUCCAACCUACUACAUAUCUCUCUUGCAAUUUCUCACUCAUCUAAUGUAGGCAAGCAUGUAUAUAACUAUUAUCUUGUUUUCAAACAAUUAAAACACCUUUGUAAGCCAAUGCAACAACAAGCAUGUGAUAAGUGGAAUUCCAUCUAGUUUUGCAUUGAAGAAUGAGUUUCUUUGUGACAGAAACUUUGAUUUGACGUUCCCUAAAGGUUUUGUUGGUUCUAGUUAUAAAUUUUGCUACUCUUAAUCUGCACAAGAUCAAAAAACAAGAAAAACACAGAAAACACAGCAAAGCAAUACACAACAGAGCAAGAACCCAAAGAUUUACGUGGUUCGAUAAUGUGCCUACAUCCACGGGAAAACGCAGCUCAUCAUCAUCACAUAGAUCAUGAAAUUACAAGUUCAAUACAAGCAGCAGCUAGCUUUGAUCUCUCUUGGUUUCUCUUUCAACAAAACCUCUCUCAAUCACCUAGCUCACUACCUCCCUUUUUGAACUCUCUGAUUUCUGCAGUUUUUCAGCUUCUCUAUUUUUCAGCCACUCUCAUAAAAAAAACCACACACUGCAUUACAUGAUCAAGAAUAUAUAUGUACACUCUAGCUAUGCUUUGGUGCCAAAACCAAUUCAGUUAUAAUAACUGAAAAAAGUUAUGACAACACCAAUUUAAAGUCUUUUCACUUGUGCCAUUUGUGAUUUUGAGUCACACACCACAAAUCUCCACCUUGACUCUAAAUCAACAAGUGUCUACCUUGUGAUUCAGGGCUGCACUUCUACCAAUCUGCUUUAGGCAUCUUCAAAAUUUAUCAAAUCCAAGAAGUGCUUGAACUUGACACUAGAGAGGGACUUUGUGAACAUAUCAGCCGGGUUUUCUUCUAUUGAAACCUUCUCCACCUUCACCUUCUUAGAUUCAAUCACAUCUCUGAUGAAGUGUAGUUUCACAUCUAUGUGUUUUGUCCUCUCAUGGUACAUUUGGUGAUUUGCUAAGUGAAUGGCACUUUGACUGUCACAAUGAAUUGUGACACAAGUUUGUGCUAUUCCAAGUUCAUUAAUCAUACCUUUAAGCUAGAUUGCUUCCUUCACUCCUUCAACUAGGGCCAUGUAUUCUGCUUCAGUUGUUGAAAGAGCAACAACUGAUUGUUGAUUUGAUUUCCAACUGAUUGUUGUCCCAAACAAAGUAAACACAUAUCCUAUUAAGGACUUCCUUGUGUCUACAUUUCCUGCAAAAUCUGCAUCUACAUAGCCUGUGACUACUGCCUCGUGUGCUGUCUUCUUGUACCUUAAACCAGUUUUCAAAGAUCCAUUUAGAUACCUUAGUGUCCACUUCACAGCUUCCCAAUGUGCGCUGCCAGGAUCUCCCAUGAAUCUGCUUAUAAUACUUACAGCAUGAGCUAAGUCAGGUCUGCUGCAAACCAUUCCAUACAUUAUGCUUCCAACACCACUAGCAUAGGGUGUUUGAUCCAUUUUAGAACUUUCUUAAGCUGUUUCUGGUGCUUGAAUAACAUAUAGCUUUGUAUGAUGACCAAGUGGUGUGCUAACAGGUUUGCUUUGAUGCAUCCUAAACCUUUCCACCACUUUCUUGAGGUAGUUGCUUUGGGACAAGAAUAGUUCACCCUUUGCCCUGUCCCUAUGAAUAUCAAUUCCGAGUAUCCUUCUAGCUGACCCUUUGCCCUGUCCCUAUGAAUAUCAAUUCCGAGUAUCUUUCAUCUCAAAUUUUGUGUUCAAGCUUUCUUUGAGUAUCCUAAUCUCUUCCUUAUCCGCAGUUGCAAUGAGGAUGUCAUCCACAUACAAGAGAAGAUAAAGAACACACACUUUCCCCUUUUUCAGGAUAUAUACACAACUGUCAUAUCUGUUUCUAAUGAAGUCAUAUCUGAUCAAGAACUCAUCAAAUUUGAGAUACCACAUUCGAGGGCUUUGCUUCAGUCCAUACAAAUAUUUUUUCAGCAAGCACACCUUGUUCUCCCCUUCUUCAAAACCUUCCGGCUGGUUCAUGUAAAUGGUUUCCUUUAGAUUUCCAUGGAGAAAAGCUGUUUUAACAUCUAGCUGUUCAAGUUCCAAAUCAUACUAAUUUACCAGACCAAGUAUGAUUCUAAUUGAGCAAUGCUUCACAACUGGUGAAAAAAUCUCAUUGUAAUCAAUUCCUUCAACCUGUGUAAAGCCUUUUGCUACCAAUCUUGCCUUGAAUCUAGGCCUUUCUACUCCUGGAAUGCCUUCUUUCUUCUUGAAGAUCCACUUACAUCCAACAGCCUUCUGCUUCUUGGGUUGAUCCACAAGUAUCCAGGUAUUGUUCUUUCUCAAAGAUUCCAUUUCUUCACUCAUUGCCUGAAGCCACAGCUGGCUGUCUUCACUUUCAAUUGCUUCCCUCUAGGUCUUAGGUUCUGAAUUUUGAAUCUCCUCAACAACACUGAAGGCAUAGCAAAUAAUAUCAGCAUGACCAUACCUCCUUGGAGGCUUUAUCACCCUUUUUUCUCUAUCUCUAGUCAAUUGAUAAUUGGACAAGUCAUGCUGAGUAACCAACUCUUCAUUAUCUCUAGCUUCUCCUUGAUUAGUGUGAUCAAUAACAUUUCCACUAUCAUGAUCUGAAAUCUCAGAAUGCUCCAUCUCAAAAUUGGUAUUCUCACUACUUGAGCUGUUAUCCUUCUUCUCCUUACUCAGCAUUACCAUUUUGCUCUCAUAAAAGGUUACAUCCCUGCUGAUGAUGCAUCCUGUCAUCAGCUCUUGUUCUUCUUUCAAGUCAAACGCUUCGAGGAUUGCAAUUUGAGGACUUGCUUGGUGCCCCUGCUGAAUUGAUUAGGAGGGGAAAGCAUGGAAGCCUCUACAAGGUUAUGCUCGAUAAUGGGGUGCUGUUGGCAGUGAAGAGGAUCAAGGAUUGGGGGAUUUCCAAGCAAGAUUUUGAGAGAAGGAUGAAUUUGAUAGCCCAAGUGAAGCAUCCACGCGUAUUGCCACCCGUUGCAUACUAUUGCUCUCAGCAAGAGAAGCUCCUAGCAUAUAAAUAUCUGCAGAAUGGUAGUCUCUUCAUGUUGCUCUAUGGUAAGUUGUAAGCAAAGUAAGGUGUCAUUACAUUCAUUUGAUAUGGAAAGUAGUUAAUAAGCUAUGGUACUUUGUUUGACAUACUAAUGCAUAUCACAUAAGUAGUCACUGCUAAACGGAAGAACUAUUAAACUAGGAAAAAGGUGUCUUACUACCUAUGAUAAUGAGAACACAAAUUUGCUUACCAUCUAAAUGAUAUUUUCUAAUACAUUACUAAUAAUUAGUUUUCCUAAUAUGACACUUAUUUUCUUUUGGCCAAAACUUCGAUGUAGUUCUUUAGAUACUUCUGGUGUUGUUUUCCAAUCAAAAUUAAAAUUUUCAUCUCUAUAAUCACCGUAGUAAAAGUUUGUAUUAAAAGUCAACAUAUAUUAUAGAGAUGAAACUCUUUAGGACUUGUAUAUAAGUUUUUCCUUUCCUUUUAUGGGAUAUCUCUAGGUCUUCAAUUUGAAUUUUUUAAGGCCCAAGAGCAGUUUUCAGUGGAACUAGGGUCUGCAAUGAAAUGUAGCCUAGAAAGAAUAAAUCUAACCAUAUGUUUGUCUUCACUUUUAAUGGUUUUAGGAUCUCAAAGUGGCCACUCUUUUGACUGGGGAAGCAGACUAAAUGUUGCUGCUAAGAUAGCUGAGGCUUUGGCAUAUGUGCAUGAGGAGUUUCUUGAGAAUGGAAUAGCACAUGGUAACUUAAAGUCAAGUAACAUUCUGUUUGUCCAUUCUCACAACAAAGGUCUCAAAAGCAAAGAUCUAAUUGCAUCCAUCUUCAAAGCUGAUGUACAUGCCUUUGGUUCGAUACUUCUCGAGCUGCUGACAGGGAAAGUAAUUAAAAAUGAUGGAUUUGAUCUAGUCAAAUGGGUGAAUUCAGUGGUCAGAGAGGAAUGGACUUUUGAAGUUUUCGACAAGUCCCUAAUCUCACGAGGUGCUUCUGAAGAGAGAAUGAUGAGUUUGUUGCAGGUAGCACUAAAAUGCGUUAAUCCUUCUCCCAAUGAUAGGCCAAGUAUGAGCCAAGUUGCAGAGAUGACAAAUUCUUUGAUAGAGGAGGAAGAAAAAUCCAUAUCCUUUGACACAUGACCCAAAGUUUAGUUAUAUACUUCUACGCAUCAGAUUAAAAAAUAAAAUAAAACAACUUCUUUCAGGAAGCAUGUAUUAAUCCAAACUACUCUAAUUUUAGUUUAGUUUCGUGCAAAUCACGAUCAGAACACAUGAAAAUGGUAAAUUAUCUGGAGAUUGGUUGUAACUUGUAAUUUCAAUUAGCAAGAGUAUCUUUUCUUCUAGAGUAUAGGCAGCUUUUACAUUUCUAGACCUUAUCUAUCAUUACUGUUCUGCAUAACCGCAUCUCUGCAAUGAAAUUUGUGAUUUUUUUUUAACAUAAUUCCAUGUCUCACAUACCGAGCCAAGCUGCAUGUUACUUCAACAUUUAUUAUGCUAACAACAUGAUCUUACAAAGUUACUUUAUUUAUGGGCAAAACCAGCGACUACAAUUACAGAGGUAAAAAAAACAAGCAAAAUUUAGAACUCAAGCAAGCUCUAAACUAUUGAAUGCAAAGUGGCUUGCAAAUAUUGAAUGCAAGAAAGAAAACACCCGUUAGGAAUCAUUUGCAUGUUGGGGGAGAUAAUGCAUGUUUGGUUUGAAUUGUGUAACGCGGUUAUUCAUGUCAAAUUGGAAGCAGCUCUUUACAAUUUUCACAUUUUAGUGAAACUGGGACCGGUCUUAGUUGAGUAAUUCGGGAGUCUUGACAUUGUUUGGGCUCAAGGUUUAAUAAUAGAUAAGGGUCCUUUAUAUAAAAACUUAAAUAUAUUUUUAAUCUCCGAUAUUUAAAUUUAUUUUUUUUUUCUUCUUCUUAAUUUUUAAAAAUUGAUAUUCUAAGAUCUCUUACCAUAAAAAUCAUCACAAAUUGUACAUUUAAACAAUAAAAAAAUUAAUCAAGAUAGACUAAAAAAAACAUUCUUUAAAUUUGAGAGACUAAAUAAAUUUAAAUUUAGGAGGCAAAAUACAACAAUGACCUAAAUUUAAAUGAUAAAAACCAUUUAAGCCUAUUGUAAAAUAUGAGGUAGGUUUCGAAGUAUCUAACAACUGAAAAAAGUCAUAAAGAGAUAUAAAUGUAUAUUUGAUUCUUAAAUCUUUAUUGACUUGAAAAUUGUAAACGAAAUGAGUUAAUUUGAUUUCUAAUCUAGAAUUACAGUUAAAUAAUAUUUGUGACUUUUCUCCCCCCGAGAUAAACUUUUCUCCCCCCGAGUCAGCCCUUCUAUAGAAUGAGUCAUCAACUCAUCAUUUACGCAUAACUAAAGAAAACAAAGCAGAAGGGGAGAUGUUGCAACUGGUUCAGAAUACUAAUUUUCACGUGCAAUACAUAUGUGGUUAGGCUAUGAUGAAUUGCAGUGGAGGCUUUGAUAAACAUAAAUUGAGCUCUGAAUGAUUCACAUGGAAUCUUGAACAGCUGGGAUGAGUCCUCUGUCGACACUUUGAAUUGGGCAAUGAUCACUUGCUCUUCUGAUUACCUUGGCAUAGGCCUAUUAGUUCCUCUCUCUCUUUUCCUGCUUUUCCUUUCUCACAGCUUCCUCACUUGUUUUUGUUUUACUUUUUGUCUGUGCAGAGGAGUGCCUAGCCAAUUUCUCUCUGGAAGUAUUUUGUUAUGUUUUAUGUGUUGUGGACUGUGGAGUGUUCUCAUAGCGGUUUGGUGGUUGAAUUAAUGCAGGAUGCAGCAGAACAACAAUAUCUCAGGCAAUACACUACCGUAUCAUGGAGCCCUUCUCAAGUUUCAGACUUUAGACCUUUCCCAUAACUGAUUUUCUUGAGUGAUUCUUGCCUGUCAAUUGAAUAGUUUCUAUUACCUGUGAGUGUCUUGAAAAUUGAAACAACUUACCAAUUGUAUAUUUCUAACUAGUGUUAUAUUAUUUCAAAGUUUCAAUUGUGCUUUUUUUGUCUUGAUUCAGUUUUACUUCUGUUUGCUACAGAGAAAUGUUAGGGAUCACAUUCUCUAACACAUUCUUUCAAAUACAAUUUUUCAUUGGUUAAAAUUUAUCGAAAACCACAAAAUUAAGUGGAUUCAGAAUCUUAUUUAAUGGCUCUCUCUUUUAAUUUUAUAAUUUUCAAUAUAUUUUAACCAAUAAAAAAUUGUAGGAAUAAAUAUGUUGAAGAGUAUAUUGCUAGCAUUCAUGUGCUCUAGAUCAUGAGAAGGUACAUCCUUCUAUCUCCAACUCCCUAGUUCCUCGUGUUUUCUUCAUACAACAUUUUUAUUUAAAACACAAGUCCAAAAGGCUAGCAAUAACACUUGUAGUUAGUCAUAGUUGUGCUUCCCUCAUCCUUCUGUUUUUUUUUUGGGGGGCUAUUUUGGUAUAGAAAGAAACAAUGACUUAGAUAAAAGGAUCUCAACUUGUUGACUCUUGUAUCUUAUUUAUUUGGCAGUUUACUAACUAACGCUAGAAAUGUGAGAGUCAGAUUAAAGGAUCCACUUCAUGUAAUCUUGGUUAAUGGGUGUUCUUCAAACAUGUUUAUUAAUUUAUUGAUGGGUGGGCUAUUCACAUUAACUUAUGCUUAAUACAAGAUCAGGGGAAGCUGAAGAAAAUAGCUCUGAUUCGCGUUCCAACGAUGCCUUCUUACAUCCAUAGAUGUACAAGUAUAAUAUUGGUGGAAAUUCUCAAACAUGUAAGUCAAAUGUUUUCAAUGAAGUUACUUAUAUUGGAGAGACUUCCUUAGUAAUUAUCGUCCAAGACUCAGCAGUUGGUAUCAAUUCAAAUGGAGAUGUACAUGGCUUAUGGGAAAUUCGAUUUUAAACGCACCCUUUUGAUUGGUGGAAUGUAUUCUCUUUUCAUUUAUUUAAACACAUCCUUUUUAUGUAUAUUAAGUCUUAAGAAGCAUGAGGCAGUGUGUUGAAAUUUUUGAAAGAAUAUCAUAUUGCUCAGUAUAAACCACAUAGAUUUGCAUGUGUGAUAAUAGAGGGUAAUGAAUAGUAAAUUUAAUAUACUACUAAUAUUAAGAAAUUAAGUAACCAAAAUUAAACAACAAUGGCAUAAAAUAAAGGAGGAAAGAAAGAUACUUUUUGGUUUUGGAAUUUUAUGGAGCCCCUAGCAAGCACAAUAAAUUUGGGAUGAAAUCAAAAAGAGAAAUCAUCGGGGUCUAACUUCAUUAGAUGCUCCCAACAUGUAAUUACUAACUAUUCAUAUUCAAUCAAGAUAUGUUAUCAUCAACCCACAAAAUUAUUCAAGCAUUAAUCCCUUAAGAGAAAGAAGCUAAAUCUCUUGAUUCAACUAUCAAUCUCUUGGAUGAGUGUAACCAAUGUACUUGCAUUAAGAAAAAUGGUUUAUCAAUGACCAAUUCUCUAUACCCGUGUUCAGAGGCAUAAAAAGGAUGGUUUGCCUUAUUCAAUUUGCAAUUAAAAAGAAUUUAUGAAUUACAAUUGAAAUAAUAUGAUCACACAAUUAGUUUGCCUAGACCAAAAACAAACAUUAAGCAUAGAAGAAGAAUAACAAUCUUUAUCGUAUAAGAAUAAAAUAUAAUUACAUGAAUGUAGUAGUCUAAUUACAUUAAACCCCAACAAGAAUGAAAUUAGCUAAUCACAACCAUGGAGAAAGAAAUUUUGAUAAAGAAAAAAUGAGGAAGAGUUGCAAGACAUAGACACCACUAAGAACUUUCUUGUUGACGAAAAAAAAACCCAAGAACUUUCUCUUUUCAUUACAUGUUUAAAAAUAGCAUCUUAUAACAAUUGGGCUUUUUCUUAAAGUGGACUUUCUUCUUAGUAAAGUGAGCUUAAGGCUCACCACUUAGGGGGCAUAAACUUGAAUUAGUUUAAGGGAAUUGCUACGCACACCAUUCAUUUUGCUGGUACACCCAACAUAACAUAUAUAAUUCCCAUAUUGCCCUUUUGUAAUUGGUUUGCAAUGCAAGAUAUGCAUACCAUUCUUUCAUAAGAGACAAUAAUACUUGUAACAGCCGUAACUUUAAUAAGUAAAUAAGAAAAUAAUAAAUUAAUACAUAAAUAAAUAAGAAAAAAUAAAAUAAAAAUUAUUAGGUCAUAAAUUCCCACUAUAUAAGCCAAAUGUUAACCUAGAGCAGCUUUUUGGAAAACACAUUCUGUUCCUUUCUUCUUUUCUGACGCACAAGAACCCUAACAGAGCAAUCAGAGGAGGAGCUCUAGAGAGCACCAGAGACGCCACCAUUGCUAACAGAGAACAUUUAAGCGACUACCUCGAGGUAAGGGAUGAGUUACUCACGCUUGGGGAUUAGAAUGAACAUGUGUAGGGAUUCCUAGAGGAUCAAUUUUUGGGUUAUUUUGGGGUGUUUAUGAAUUUAAUUAUGUUUUCAUGUUUAAUCGCGGAUUGAGUGUGUUUGAUGAACCAAUUGGUGUUCUGUUGCGAGUUUGUUGUAGAAUUGAUGUGUUCUGAUGCGAGUUUGUUGUAGGAUUGAUGUGUUUCUGUGUUAGGUGUGUACCUUAGGAAUUAUAAUUCUUUAUAAUUAGCAUAAAAAUUGUGUGGUGGUGAUUUUGUUUAUACCAGAUAUGUUGGCCUUUCAAUCUUGUUCCUGUGCUAAUGUAUAUUGUGUCCAAAUAAUUAUUUUUACACCGCAGUGUAUACGUGUACAUAUAUAUUGAUACUGUUUUUUUUUUACAAACUGUAUAUUUUAUUUCACGUGGGUGAUUUCUUGUCAUGAAAUUCAUAGGUGUAGGGAUUGUUGGAUAAUUGAAUUGGCUAAAAUCAUUUAAAGAAAUUAACUAAAGUUGUAUUCACAUUGUAAUUAGGCAUUUUCUUGAUGUUAGUAACUUAGUUGAAAUAUAUUUAAAAUAUAGGUAUACAUGUUGUUCAUAGAAAUCAAUAUGAGUAUAUAUUUUAUUGUUAUAUAUAAUUUGUAUUUACUUAAUAAUAUAUUUGAUAUUAUUGUGAUUACUUUAUAUUAAUAUAUAAUUAAUACUUUUUAUAUGUUAUAUAUAAUAUGUACAUUUACGUUUACGUUAAUAUAUAUUUUGUUAUACAUUUUGAAUAUAAUAUACUUAUAUAUAUAUUUUACGUGUAUUUUAUAGUUACUUGUUUAUAAGCCUUGAAGUUAAAUAUUGUAUGUUAUUAUUAUUAUGAUACAUUGUUAUCUAAUUGUUGAGUAUAUUUUGUAAUUAGUUAGAGUGUGAAAUGUUAAACUGUAGACAUGAAACAUGGUUGUGAAUGAGUGUGUGAUUGAUAUUUGUAGUGAUAUUACUUGUCAUGUGAGUUAUGAGUUAUACAGUAACCCGCCCAGUGUGUACCUUGAGAGAACUUUUAUGCGCAAUGUUAAAGAAAAUUGUAGGAUUCCUAGUUAGGAUCCUGAAGGGUUAAACUAUGGCACAAUUUGUUAAAUAUGUUUGAAAUAUAAGAGUAAGGUCGUGGGUAUGAUAUAACUCAUAAACAGUGUCUGCGUGCAAAUAAAAAAAAUAUUUUAGGGGUUGGACCUGAAUCAGGAAGGUGAGGCCCAAACGGAUUCUUCGGAGUCUAGGCCUUGGGGGUAAAGAUACUCGGUUUGAGUGCUCCUUUAAGCCCAUGUUGAUCCCAUGUGGUUGGGGCAUUCUCGCAAAACAGAGUAACCAUGACUGGUCACCUUAUGAUGUUACUUAGUGAGAGUGACCGAGUAUACCCAUUGUGUGGUGUGCUUUAUCAUGUACUCCUAAGCGCCCCAGUGUUGUUUUUCACUGACAUGGUACCACAUUGCAUAUAGGCUUGAGUCUUAGUAUAAUUGUUGCAUAACGCUUGUGUUUGAAUUUCAUUGAGUUAACAAUUGUGGUUGAUGUUAUUUUAUGGAGUGUGUAAACUUGAAUGGGUGUGAAUAAUGUGUGCGAUUUUGUGCAGUAAUGCUAUUUAUAUAAAUUCAGCUUUAAGUAUUAUAUGUUUCACAUGCUCUAAUGUUUUAUUAUAUACGAAUGUGAUAACUCACUCCCGGUGUGUGUUUGUGUUUGGGCUGAUUGCCACUUUGUUUUAGGUGAGCCUUCAUAUGAUGAGUCACAUGCUAGAGAUGGAGAGACUUAGUCUGUGAUAGGGAUUAUGAUUUACUGAAUGAUAUAAUUGCGUUAUACUUUUCUACUUUAGAUUUUUUAUUUAUUUAGAGUGGACGGCCUUGUUUUGAGCCGGGAUAAUCUUAUCUUUUAUUAAAAAAAGUAAUAUUCUAUUAUGUUUUCACUAAGUGGAUGUGAACCUUUAUCCUUUUGAAUUGAUUAAAUUAAAUGCGUUUAAAAAGAAAAAUUAUUAAUUAAUUUUGCAUGUUUUUUUUUCCUUCUUUUAUUAUUAUGUGUUUAUAAUCUUUUAAUUAAAUUUUGUAUGAUUUAUUUAAUUAGUUAGUUAUAAUUGUAAGGGUAGAGGGUGUCACAAUACUAAAAUACAACAACUAAUGAAGCUUCUUGAAUGAAAUCAGCAUAUUCAUUGACAUAGAUUGAAUGAUGAAGAUGUUGUACGUGAUAUAUUUUGGAGUCAUCCUGAUAUAGUCAAAUUAUCCAAUGUUUGUAAUUUGGUAUUUCUCAUAGAUAGUACCUACAAAACAAACAGGUACAGGUUGUUGUUACUUGACAUUGUUGGUGUAACCCCAACAAGGAUGAUUUAGCAUUGAUGAAUGCAGUGUAAACUAUUUUUCCUGAUACUACAAAUUUGUUGUGUCGAUUUCACAUUGAUAAGAAUGUGAAGGCAAAUUGUAAAACUUUGGUUGGUCCAAAACAUGCAUGGGAUUAUGUCAUGGAAGCCUGGAGGAGUUUGGUGGAUUGUACUUCUGAGCAAGAGUUCGAUGAGUGCCUUUUGAAGUUUGAAAUUGCUUGCUCACCAUGGUCAAUGUUUGUUGACUAUGUCAAGCAAACAUGGUUGAUUUCUCAUAAAGAAAGAUUUGUUAAAGCUCGGACGAAUAAGCUAGGUGAUGCAUUUAGGAAACACAACAACUAACAAGUAUGAAAGUUGUAAAUAUUUAUUGUUGUUAGGGUUUAGGAUCUAACAGAUAAAAAUAAUUGUUUUUGUUUACUUGUUUGUGUAUUUCAAAUGCAAGUUUGAGUCUUCUCAUUGGGCCUUAAAGAGACAACUGUAGAAUAGCCUUGGAGACCUAUGUAGUGUUUGAGAAGCCAUGAACAACAUGAUCACACUGCAACACAUAGAAAUUAAGGCAUAUUCUGAGACAUGUACACAUGUGGUUGGACAUGUUCUUAAAGUUACCUUACAUAAGAAACUACUUGGCAUGGUAUCAAUGUAUGCUUUAAAUCAGAUUGUUGCAGAGUUUGAGCGUGUAAGUAGAAUGCAGUAGUGAAGGAUUGAACACACUUUGUUGAUGAGGUUGACAACACACUUUGUUGAUUUAGGGGAAGAUUGAACAUUUAGUUAUUGUUAAGACAAUAUUUGUAAUGUACAUAGUUGUGACAUACUUACGGGGUUAUCAUGUAAUAUGAUAAUUAACGCGUGUUUCAUUGGACAUUCAUAUAAUUAUUUAUUUUACUUAAUUAUCGACAAUGCAAAUAAUCAUAUUAGAAAAAAAAACAUCAAACGGUAUAUAAUUAUUUAUGUUUUAGGAUUUUUAUUUAGGGUUAUUAGAAAUUAAAUUGAAUUAGGAUUUAGGAUUUAGGGUUUUAGUUUUGACGAAUUAUGUAUUUUGGGAUGCGGGAUUAAAUAAUUUGGUUUAAGGUUUAACAUAAUAAUCUACUUAGGUCAAUAAUUUAAUAUUCACAUACUACAUAAACGAAAAUAAAUAAAAAGCUUAACAAAUAACACUAAAUAACAAACAUUGUUCAGUCAUAUUGCAUACAUAAAUCCUAUGAAACCUAAAAAAUCCUAACAAUCUUCAUGUGUCUAGUGUACGCCGCCUUCAUCUCGAUCAAACAUAUACAUUGCCUUACGCAGUCACACCCCUGGCGAUCCUUAGGCCCUCCUCGAUCACAGUGUAUGCUUCAGUUCCUUCAGUGACUAUCCUUAUGUUGAUCAAGCAUUCCAACCUUUAUGUUAUUGCAUGACAAGCCUCCUAUGACAUUGACAACAAGCUAAACAGUAAAAAUUUAAUGCAUGACACAUAAAAUGACUACAACAGUGAGAAUUCAAAAUAUUUUAUACCAAUGCAUGUCGAGGCAUGUCUACAUCAACAAGUGUAGCUGCAAGUGGUUUUGGCAUAGAUGUUGUGGCGACCGGUUGCUGAGGAGGAUCUGGUUCAAUAAAUGUAUCAUCGUGAACCAUAGGUGGAUGUCUAGGAGGAUCCCUAGGCUGUGUCGGACUCAUGAAGGAAUGAGAUAUCAUGUAAAACCACUCCAUGUAGUCUACUGCACACUAUCCUGGAGCAACACAAAUUUGACCCACUAGUGCAAGGUAUUCAAAAAAGUGCAUCCAUCUAUCGUCAAUCUCCUUUAUAAAUAAAUAUGGGGCAGCAGAGGUUGGAGGAAUGGUUUGCACAUAACCAAACUAUCGCACAAUCCUCUAUGGUUGGUGUAUGACAAUAGAUGAACCCAUCUGAUUUGUCCACAAAAUAAUGAGAUCAACUCAAAAUUCUCUGAAUGCACGGUGGUCACCAUAAGGAAUCUAGCACAUAGCAUCGGAUGUCAAUCUAUCCAACCGCUUAUGAUACAUCGACAUUGUUAAUGCCUUCCCAGACUUCCAACGGCAUGCACAUAGUUUUCUCUCAUGAUAAUCUUCAUCAGCAAAGUAAUGGCUUACACCAUAUAUUAGUAGAAUGCAAUAGUGGUAAUCUGUAUGGAUUAUAUGGAUUGUUAAACCUUAUAAUCCAUAAGAAUUUCUAAUCCGUAUGCAUUGUACGGAUUGUUAAUCCUUAUAAUGACUACACAAUCCCAUUUUCAAUGAAGAGUGGAAAAGAGGAACUUACGACAAAGGCGAACGCGACAACGGUGGUGGGGACUGGCGACAAGGCAUGAAUGGAGGCACGAAUGGCAACGGUAGGAACAACAUAUUGAGAAAAAAAACCCAAGUCCCACAUUGACUAGAGAUAGUGUCAAGAUAGAGUAUAUAAGGUGAGGGCAAUCCUCACCCUGUGAGCUAGCUUUUAGGGUUGAAUUAGGCUCCAGUUUUCUACUUAGCAUCAGAGCCUAUCCUAGAUCUAUUGAAAGGACCACACACCAAGCCCAAAAAGUGUUGGGCGUGAGGGGGUGUAUUGAGAAAAAAACCCAAGUCCCACAUUGACUAGAGAUAGUGUCAAGAUAAAGUAUAUAAGGUGAGGACAAUCCUCACCCUGUGUGCUUGGAUUUUUUUUUUUCAACGCGUACAAACAGGGAGAGGAAAGGGUGACCUUAUUAAAAUUUUAAGUGAAAGAGAAUUUCGUCACUUCACUUAAAAUAUUGGAUACACAAGAAAUUGUGUUGGAUGCACCUAACAAAACUCUUCAUUUUUUUUCUUCCGGUGUAGGCUUAAGGUGGUGGGCUUAAAAAUUUUUGUUAGGAAAUCCCAUAAUCUUUUUUUUCUUCUACAUUGAUGACAAUGCUUUUCAACUCUUUUUCAAUUGAGUCUUUCAAUAAUUCCCUUACAAAAUAUAAACAAAUAAUCCAAUAUCAUAUCAAGCAUAAAAGUGAAAAACAGAACAUCCUAAUUAAACUAAUUAACUUUAUCUAAAAGAUAGGUUGUUUUCAUUUUUAUAAGAUGACAACUGGUAACAUUUAAAUAAUUCUAUUAAACAUGUGUUUUAAUACUUUGAUUUCUUUAAAUACGUAAAUAAAAAAUUAAAAUAUAUCAAUUUAACUUUUGAUAAAAGUGAUUAAGAUCACAAUACAUAUGUCAUUAAACACAUUGCAAUACUUAUUUUAUAUAAUAAUAUUAGAUUAUUUCCCGUUAGAAAAACAAGACCAUGAAUUGAUUCAUACAAAGUAAACCAAAUCUAGUUAAAAUAUUAUGGAAAUAAGUGUGAAUCAACAAUCCAAGCAUCGAUCACCAGUUUAACUAAAGGCAUGUUUAGAACUAACGAAUAACGACAAUAUAUAUUGUUGUUACCGUAUAUUUAUGUCAUUCUAGUUAUUUACUCAUGACCUGUUAGCUUUAUGAUACUAUUAUUUCUUACUAUAUUAAUAUUUCCCUUUUUUAUAUUUUGAUUUUCCAUGUAAGUAUUUGUUUAUCAGGGGUCUCUCUUUGCAACUAACACACACCUAUUACUAAAAUGUAGGUUCAGUAAAGGUAGUUUUGAAAAGAAAAGUCGCAUAACAUGGUUACAUUAAUACAUAUGUAAUACAUCACAACAACAUAAUCACUACAUUAUGAUGCCAUUAAGGUAGAUCACAAUUUCAAACAUAGAGAAAUACAUUGUAGGCUGAUAUAGUACAUCAGAUGCAAUAUGGAAAUGCCUACUUAUUUAAGGACACACUAACAAAUAAAGACUUAAGUAACCUAUUUGGCAAACCAGAGAAGGUGGCCCUCAGGGAAGAUGUGACACACUGGAGCAGCUCCAGGCUUGGUUUUAAGCAUUUGUAAAAACACAUGGUUUGGAUCCCAUUCUGAUGUGUCUUUGUGGCAUACAGCUGCAGCUUUAACUCUGGUUCCAUCUUCUCCCUCCAAAGGCAUAAAAUGCGCAGUAGUAUUUGAUAUCUCAUGACACAUAAACACAACAUAUGGGUAAUCCAUAGGAUGACAAACAAUGACCUUAUCUUCUGCUAACAACUUCACUCCAUCUUUCACCGAGAAUUUUUGGGACUUACUUUCCUUUUCUGCUUCUGUAGAAAUAACUCGAGCAUUCUUCCCAAGCUUAGAAGUGACAAAAUCUACCAUGGACUCUAAUGAAGUUGCACAAUAUCUUUCUUCUCCAGUUAUUGCAGGCACUUCACACAUACUAAUGGUUUCCUCUAGAAUCUUAACAUUCUCUGGCUCUGGGUUCACAAAAAGCAUCUCAACUAUUUCUUUUAUCUUUGCUGAUGACAACGGUAUAUGUUGUGCAAUUUGGCGAGGCAACAAUGGGGUUACAUUUUCUCUUUUCUUGAAGUGAGCAUCCAAUUUUGUGCCAGGCCUUAAUCCUUCUUCAAAGAAAACUUGGUCUGCUUUUGGGAUGUCAUGUUGAUGACCAUUAGCAACAAGGAUCGUUUCAUCUUCUUGUGAAAGACUUCUUUUUGCAACAUAGGUUUUCUUAACACCGUACCAAAGAGGAGGUUGAUCUUCGGAUUGAGUUUUCUUAAUACCGUACCAAAAAAUAGGAACUUGAUCUUCGGAUUGGGUUUUCUUAGCACCAUAUAAAAAAAGAGGAGUUUGAUCUGUUGAUUGGAUUUUCUUAGCACCAUAAAAGAUAGGAACUUGAUCUGUUGAUUGAGUUUUCUUAGCACCAUAAAAGAUAGGAACUUGAUCUGUUGAUUGGGUUUUCUUAGCACCAUAAAAAAAAGGAGGAACUUGAUCUGUUGAUUGGGUUUUCUUAGCACCAUAAGAAAAAAAAGGAGGAAUUUGAUCUGUUGAUUGGGUUUUCUUAGCACCAUAAGAAAAAAAAGGAGGAAUUUGAUCUGUUGAUUGGGUUUUCUUAGCACCAUAAAAGAUAGGAGGAACUUCAUCUGUUGAUUGGAUUUUCUUAGCACCAUAAAAGUAUGGAGGAACUUCAUCUGUUGAUUGGGUUUUCUUAGCACCAUAAAAGAUAGGAGGAACUCCAUCUAUUGAUUGAGUUUUCUUAGCACCAUAAAAGAUAGGAGGAACUUCAUCUGUUGAUUGGGUUUUCUUAUCACCAUAAAAGAUAGGAGGAACUUGAUCUGUUGAUUGGGUUUUCUUAGCAUCAUACAGGAAUAUUUGAUCUGUAGAUUGGGUUUCCUUAGCAC